UAUAUAUAUAUAUAUAUAUAUAGAGCUAGGCUGGUAUACUAUCGUAGCACGGAGGCCUCCGUGCUACGAGUUGUUUUCAAAAUGCGGCUUUCAAUCCACGAUCCGUUUCGUAGACUGGAUCUAAUACUAUUAAAAGUACUUGGAAACUAAAUUUCAUAAUUUUCGUCAUCAUUUGGCUAGUGAUCAAAAAGGUCUCAAAAUUGACAAAUUUUAAUGUAGAUACGGUGAUGCGUUUGUAAAUUUAACGGUGUAAAAUAAUCCAAAAUUGAUGAAAUUUUAUUAAAAUUUUUUUUUCACUAUUUAGAGUAGAAUCAGUACUUCUGAUCUAAAAUUCAGUCUUCUAUCAUACUUUUAUGAGAUUUUUAUUUUUAGCCGAUUCAUUUUAGACGUAUUCUGUUUUGAUAGGUAAAUUGACUGCCGUAAAAUUAUGAAAUUUAUUUCUAAAUACUUUAAAUAGCCUAGAUCAAGUCUAACGGAGCCGAUCGCGAUUAAAGACGCAUCAUUGAGAAACAACUGAGAUAGCACCUGAGGUCUCGUACUACCGAUAUAUAUCCAAGCCUAGCUCUCUCUCUCCUUCUCUCUCUCUCUCUCUAUAUAUAUAUAUAUCAUGAAUAAGCGGUUUUUAUUUAUUUUGAACUAUAAUUGCGCUACCUUCGUAAAUAUAAUAUGCACUGCUUCUCUGCCACAUGUAGUAAGGAAACACUAAACAGGGGAUUUUACGACACACACAACCCAUAGAUAUAUAAUAUAUAUAGAUUAAUAUUAUAUAUAUAUAUAUAUUAACUUUAUUAUAUAUAUAUAUAUAUAUAUAUAUAGUAUAAGAGUUCGGUUACUGUCAACUAUUCAAUAGAACAAAAGCACUUGAGUCUACCAAGUUUUCCUGCCAAUUAGAUUAAGAGAUGAUGUGAUUAGGAUGAUGUGAGCCCCCUAACCACACAUAACUCUUAAUCCAAUGACUAUAAAACUUGGUUAGCUACCAUCCGAUUUGGCUGCUAGCCUAGUUCUAUAUAUAUAUACACGAAGAGUUGGCUUCUAUACUAUCUAUAGUACUGAAAUUUCGGUACUAUAGUUUCGUUUUCAAUUUUAGAAUAUUCAAAUCAAUGAUCCAUACCUUUAAAAUUGAUCUAGAGUAUUUGAAGAUUUUAGAAAUAAAAUUUUAUUUUUUUUUCGACAUAGUUUACUUUAUGAUCAAAUCAAAAUUGUCAAUUUUCAAUGGAUAGUAUGGCGAGCUUGUAGUUUAACAGUGUAAAAAAAUCUAAAAUUUAUUCAAAUUUUGAUAGAGAAUUCUUUAAACUAUUUAGAUCAAGAUCAACACCUGUAAUCUUAAAUUUCAAAGUUCUAUCCUCAAAUUUUAAAGAUUGUUCAAUUUCAACCGUUUAUUUUGCCAUGAUUUACUCAGUAAGUAAACGAUGUCGAAAAAAAUUAAAAUUUUAUUCCUAAGAACAUUAUAUAACUUAGAUCAUAUUUAAUGAUGUGGAUCGUUGAUUUGAACAUUCUAAAAUUGAAAACGACACUAUAGUACCACAGCUCUGGUACUAUAGAUAGUAUAGUAACCUAAUUCUAUAUUUCAUAUAUAUAUAUAUAUAUAGAGAGAGAGAAGAGAGAGAGAGAGAGAGAGAGAGAGUGAGUGAGUCUGGCUACUAUGCUAUUAAUAGCACGAAGCACUUGGUGCUACCAAGUUUUCCGCCGUUAGAUCUAUUCUUUUGAUCAUUUUCAUCCGUUAGAUCAUACUAUUCAACCAACCACCUACUCAACCCUAGGGGGCGCACAUCAUCCUAACCACACAUCUCUUAAUCCAAUGGUCAAAAACUUGGUAGCAUCAAUGACUUUGGUGCUAUUAAUAGUAUAUUAGCCUAGUUAUAUAUAUAUAUAUAUAUAUAUAUAGAGAGAGAGAGAGAGAGAGAGAGGCUCCUAUAAUANNNNNNNNNNNNNNNNNNNNNNNNNNNNNNNNNNNNNNNNNNNNNNNNNNNNNNNNNNNNNNNNNNNNNNNNNNNNNNNNNNNNNNNNNNNNNNNNNNNNNNNNNNNNNNNNNNNNNNNNNNNNNNNNNNNNNNNNNNNNNNNNNNNNNNNNNNNNNNNNNNNNNNNNNNNNNNNNNNNNNNNNNNNNNNNNNNNNNNNNNNNNNNNNNNNNNNNNNNNNNNNNNNNNNNNNNNNNNNNNNNNNNNNNNNNNNNNNNNNNNNNNNNNNNNNNNNNNNNNNNNNNNNNNNNNNNNNNNNNNNNNNNNNNNNNNNNNNNNNNNNNNNNNNNNNNNNNNNNNNNNNNNNNNNNNNNNNNNNNNNNNNNNNNNNNNNNNNNNNNNNNNNNNNNNNNNNNNNNNNNNNNNNNNNNNNNNNNNNNNNNNNNNNNNNNNNNNNNNNNNNNNNNNNNNNNNNNNNNNNNNNNNNNNNNNNNNNNNNNNNNNNNNNNNNNNNNNNAUAAAUUUAGUAAAAUUUUGCUCUUUUAUUUGUCUAUUGGGUUUAUUUUUAUGGGCCAACAAUAUUGUCCCAAUUUUAACUAAAUUCAGAUUAUUCACUCAGCCUAUAUAUACUUAAAAUAUAUUAUAUUUAUAUAUUUUUUAAUAUAUAUAUAUAUAUAUAUAUAAUUGAGCUAGAAUACUUUUAGAAGCAUCACCCAAUUGGUGCUUUUAUAUAUAUAUAUAGAAUUGAGCUAGAAUACUUUUAGAAGUAUCACCCAAUUGGUGCUUUUAGAUUUCUAGCCCUUAGAUCUACUCUUGAUUACUAAUAGCCCUUGGAUCAAACACUAUUCCACCUACCACCACCUACCACCACCUACCACCAUCAUCCCAACCUUACAUUUUUUCAUCUAAUGGUUAAAAACUCAAAAGCACCAACCUCAUAAUAUAUAUAUAUAUAUAGGCUGGGGCUACUAUACUCUUAUGAGUAUAAAACCCUUUGUACUAAUAAGUUUUCGACCGUUGGAUGAAAGGAUGCGUGGUUAGGAUGAUAUUGGUCCCCGGUUAGGUUAAUAAUGGUUUCCUAGGGUUGAGUGGAUGAUUGGUUGAAUAGUAUGAUCUAACGAGUAGAAAUGGUUAAAGGAGUAGAUCUAACAACCGAGAACUUAUGAGUAUAAAAGGGCCUCUACUUAUAGGAGUCUAGAAGCCGGACUCUCUCUCUCUAUAUAUACACACUUUUGAAAGUAUAGAGAUCUUCGUGUUUGUAAGUUUGAUGAAACAUACAAUUUAACGAUCGAUUUUAUUAGACAUGAUCUAUAUUAUUGGAACUAUUUAAAAACCAAAUUUUAUGAGUUGUUUGACUUCGUUAGCUUGGUGAAUGAGUAGACUCAAAAUAAAUGCCUGAAAAUAAAAAUAUCCUAAAAAAUAGUGAUACAAGAUUUAAAUUUUAAAUUGAAAGUAUUGAUCUUAUUCUUGAUGGUAAGUAAAAUUUUCUCUUAAAAUUUUACUUAAUUUGGAUUAUUUUACACCGUUGAACUGACAAACGUGACAUAUCGGCUUUUAAAAUAGUUGUUUUUGAGAUUCUUUGAUCACCUGAUAAAUGAUGCCGAAAAAUUAUGAAAUUUGAUUUUUAAAUAGUUCUAAUAACGUAGACCAUGCAUAAUGGAGCCGAUUAUCGAAUCAGAGAUCUAAUCAUCGAAAAUAACUUACAAGUACGAAGACCUUCAUGCUUUUGAAAGUAUAGGAGGUGUAUACUCUCUCUCUAUAUAUAUGUAUAUUAUGAGUCUAGCUACAAUACUAUUAUGAGUACUAUUGUCAUCAUGCUAAUAAAUCAUUUUUGAUAUUGGAGCAUCCAAUUCAAUGAUCUACACCAUUAAACAUAAUUUAAAGUAUUUAAAGAAUUUAGAAAUCGAAUUUCAGACUAUUUUUACAUCAUAUACCUUACAAUCAAAGGGUUUCAGAAUGGACAUUAAUUGCUCGCGCCAGGGAGAGAUUGGACACUCUAGAGAACAUUGAGAGGAAAGUGGUUAGAUGGUACAAACCCUAGGAGAAGUAGACGAGGGUAGAUAAAGUAGGGUAGCAGCGAUGCUGGGGAGGAUGGUUCUACAACUGUAUUAAAUGCCCGGAUUCGUAGUAGAUCGGGACGUAUAGGGCAGAGCAGGAGCAAAAAGGGAGAGAGUACCAACUCUAGGCUAUCGUAGGGUUCGAGGAUAGAGAUGCAAGGGAUACAAGGCGAGAGAGUAGAGGUCUUGAGAGAGCAAGUACACCCUCAGUCGCACACAGAAGGAGGAGGAGUGUCAUAUCCUAGUGCUUUUUCUAGAAAAAAAAAUGGUGAAAAAUAUAUGCAUUUUUUUAAAAUCAAUACGAAAAACCGCUUCAAAACAUGCACAGACCUGGCACAUAGAUAAAAUCUUCUCUAUACAUGCAUGACAUAGGAACAUAGAGUAUAACAUCAAUCACAUCAAUCACAACAAAAACAACAACAACAACAACAACAAAUAGGUAACUAAACGAACAAAUUGAGUCAGCAAUACUGAUACCGAAAGAAAACUAUCUAAAAUACCGAGAAACAUAAAUCCAUAUUUAUUAACAUGAGAGAUAAAUAACUAAAUCACAUGAGUAUAAAACAUAAAAGAAAGAUCAAACCAUCGAGAUCACAGUCUAAAAAACAUGUCUAUCUGCUAGCAUCCAAGAGGUUAAGAGAUUUAAGCGUGCUAGAACUAGAGUACUCUAUGAUGGGUGACCGUCGGUGAGGCGUCAAAGUUGGUGUCAGAACUAAUCACCAACAGAAAAUGUGAGAUGAGUCUCGCUGAACUAGAGUUAUCUAGUGAGUAAAGCGCGACUCCCAAUUGACGAACGUUGCAAGUAGAGUGCGGCUCAUCGUAAGGUUGGCUAAGACUAACGAGAUAAGUUUUAUAUUGUCGAAUACUUUUGAAUUUUUAAUCAGAGCAAUUUAGACGGUGACCAAAUACAAAAGUUAAAAACAUUAUGCGUGGUAGAACUAGUUACACGUAGGGUGUCCCUCCUAGAAAUGAGAGAGUGAAGAAACACGGGUACGAGUGACUCGAUAGAAGACUCGAGAGAAGAGAGGAAAAUGUUAGCACGAGGGACCCACACAAUCGAAAUCACAGAGAGACAUUCAAUCGAAUUGCAUUGAUUGAUGGCUUGUCAGUUGUUGACGUGGUAGACGCAGUCUACCUGAUAAACUCCAUCUGGUAAUAAAUAUCACGAAUCCGUAUAACCCUACCAAAGUUACCAAACAGACCCUUCUUCUCUCUCCCCUCCCACACAUUUGUCACGAGAUUUUGGUGAUCUCCUCUCUUUCUUCUUCUUGUCCUUCUUCCUCCUCUUCCCCUCCUCUGCUCCCUCACCAAACCCCUUUCGCCAUGGAUGAGGACGACGAAGAAGAGAUGCUUGUAGAGGAGAGGGACGAAGUCGAGUUCCUACCCAUCUCAAACCCCAACGAGGAAGCCCCCACCAAGCGAAAGGGCUUCUUCCUCAACCCAAACCCCCAAAACCCUAGCGCUCGAUCCCCGUUCGUCCCUGCUCGGUACAAAAUUGUCUCCUUUGACGCCAUCGAGGAGGCUAGAGUUCUCUUCAGGGGCUGGUCGAGCUCGCCGCGGCAGUGGGAGAGCUGGAUCGCGAAGCUCCGCCCCAAAUACGGCGAUUUGUGGCGAAAAGUUGGCGUCUUUGACGCGAUUUCGGCGUCUACGUGCCGAAUUCGCCGGGAUCCUUCCGCCAUUUUCGGGGUCUCGGCCUUCUGGUGCGAGGAGACCAGUAGCUUCAUCUUCCCCUGGGGGGAGGCAACCCUAACCCUAGAGGACGUCAUGAUUGUUGGCGGGUUUCCGGUUUUAGGGCAAUCGGUGAGGGAGCCGCUGCCGGGAGAGUAUAAGGAUUUGGAGGUGAAGAUGACGGAGGAGCGAUUGCGGUUUAACCGGAGCUCGAGCAAGAAGGCUCACCAUUCCGCCUGGAUGAGGCAUUUCAUCGAGCACGACGCGGACGAUUUGGAGCACAUCGCCUUCCUAUCGCUGUGGCUGUCGAGGUUCGUCUUCUGCAGCCACCCGGAGAAGACGGUGAAGCAGAACGUGUUCUCAAUCGCGAUUAGAUUAGCUCGAGGGGUGAGGGUCGCUCUUGCGCCCGCAGUCCUUGCCGUUAUAUACCGGGAUUUGCGGGAACUGAAGGAUUAUAUGGUUUAUAGUGGAGGGAGAAAGGACAUCCCUUUAGUCCUUUGGGCUCCUCUGGAAAUUUUGCAGCUUUGGGUGUGGGAGAGAUUUCCUGCUCUAAGGCCGGAGGCAGAGAAGUUGAUUGAGGCGGGAGAGCCGAGGGCUGCUAGGUGGCACGAUGUUGGCAAGAAAUCGGAGCUUUCCUUUGUGAAUUCCAUUAUAAAAAACCCUAAUGAGUUCCGAUGGCGGCCGUAUGCUGCUGAUUUGAGUAAUUGGUGUAAGCCUGAUUUCUAUAAAGACAAUGGUGAAUGGGUUCGUGGGGAGUCGGUUCGAGACGAAGGAUUGAAUUCCUUUGCUAAGUGCUUGAGGGUUUGUGAAUUGGUGGCAUUGGAUUGUAUCGAGCGAUAUCUCCCACACCGUGUAGCAAUGCAAUUCGGGUUGGAUCAAGAUAUACCGCAUAGCAUAUCUCGUGCUAAUUCGAGGUGGGAAGAAGCGUGGAGUACUUACGAGAUUGGUAAAAAGAAUUUGGCGGUUUAUUGUCCAUCUCGGAGUUCCGACUCGGGCAUCACGAUCGAGUACUUGAAAUGGUGGAAGGAGUGUAUGGCAAAUUGUGGUACAUAUGCGGUUAGUAGCGAGGAGAAAUCACAAAAUUUAUUGGAAAAUGCCAAGAGAUCGUCGGAGGAGGCAAUGGAGGAAGAAAAGAAGGAUAGUAAGAAGAAGGCCCGGGUUUCUCCUAAUGGUAAGAAGAGGAAAUUGGUGGACUUUUAUAAUACCACGCUCUCGGAUUGGCUUGCUUUUACUGAUCAAUACAUUGGAGGGAAUAAGUAUUUGAAUUCGGAGAAGCCUUCACUAGUCAAAGAGGGAUUAGAUAAUUCUAAUAAUCCCAAUGUAGAAAGGGUGAUGCAGAUCGGAGAAGCUCUUUCAAUAGAAGGGGAGAAGCUGAGAAAAACAAAUGAAGAAAUUGUCGAGGAUGACAAGGAGAAGGUGAUUGUGGAAACUAUUAAGGAGCAUAAAGAAGAUGUUUUACUCAAGGAAGCAAACCCUAGAGGAGAGAGUAAAGAAAUCAUGGUGAGUGAUGUGGAAGGAAAGGCUAUUGUUGACGAGGAUAAAAGAAAAGACAAUGGGGAGUCUACAAAGGAGAUUGUAGAAGUUGUUCCGUUAGAACAAGGAAAUCAGAAGGAAGAGAAUAAGGAUGAGGAAGAAAAAAUGAUUGCAGAAAAUGUUAAGGAAAUAAAAGGUGAAGAAUCUUCUUAUGAUUCAGUUGUGAAAAAUGAGCUCAAUGAAGCUCCUUCACAAGAAGAGCCAAAUCAGAGUAAAAAAGAGAAGGAGGAAGAUGACGUUGUGAUGGAGGAUGUCAAGAAAAUAGAUGGUUUUGAAUCUUUAUCUGAACCAGGUUCAGUGAAAGAGGCUGAAGAAAUUGCUAAUACAGAAGAUGGCGAGAAGAAGAAUGAAAACAAGGGAAUUUCAGAUGAUAAAAGUGUGGAGGAGCAAGUUGUCAGAGAUGUUAACAUUGGAAAUGAUGGAGAAUCUACUACUGUGGUAAAGGAGAGUCAAGAAGCACUUUCUCCAGGAAAGGCAUGUCAAAGAGAGGAAGACAAGGGAAUUUCGGACGAAGACCAGGAUGCUAACAGGACAAUCAAGGGGGAGCCUCCACUUGAUCCAGAUAUCACAAAGGCAGCUACUCCACUAGAAAGUGAAGGGAAGGGAAGAAUAGUAGAAAUUAAGAGAAAAAGUAUACCUCCUCAUGAGUUGAUAGUGAACAAGAAAAGUAAAAACAAGGCUACUGCAGAAGAUGGUAGGAGAAAAAUUGAGAGACUUUCUUCGCAUCACCUGCUGAAAAGAUUUGACUCAUUGGACAAGGAGGAUAGGGCUAAAAUGAUAGAGAUAGAAGAAGGUGAAGGAGUUUUUUCACCCCAAGUGGCAAAGCUUAGAAUGGAAAAGAUCGAGGAAAGGCGGGCUUCGCGUAUUGCUAAAGAAUCGGAGCUCGAGAUGCAGAUUAGAAAGCUAAAGGAAGAGAUUACUGCAAUGGAAGCUAGGGUAAUGGACUUGGAGCCCAUCAAUGAGGUGCACUUUUCAUCUUAGGAGUUUCCUUUUUUGUAGCUUAUAUCUAGUUGGGUGUAUGUUUUUGUACAAAUUGGCAUUAAUAUGCUUAUUGGUUUUGCUAGUAAAACUAAAUCUGGAAAGACAUCUUAUUCUGAGUUUUGUCCCAACUACCUCAAUUGCGCUAGUUAACUAUGCUAAUAUAAUUAGAUUCUCUUCCGUGAUUUUGACAAAAUUUUACCAAAAGUUUGGUGUCCACAACAGCAUAACUUACUGAUCAACGUGCAUCCCUCCUGAAGUUUUAUUUGAUUACACUUAGUUAUCCAAACUAUAGAUCAUUUAAGAAUCUCAUUGCAUUGAUAAUUGAAAGGAGAAAGUCAUUUAAUAUGUAUAUUAUUUCCCAUUAGGGUUUCCUGUAAAGCAUUAGAAGAAAAUGUAUAAAUACAGUUAUAUAUCGAACCUAACAUUGAAAAGAAACAAAAGUAUUACAAAUUCUAUACAAGAGAUCCAUGUGAAGAUUUAUUAUUUGUGGAAGUGCAGUUAGGGAAAUUGGGAAUUACGUGGCACCCAUGGAGAAAUAGUUUGAGCUAAACAGUUUUACUAUUUGUUAUGUACUUUUAUGGCAUCAUUCUGGAGAUACGAGAAUAAAUUAUCUUCUUGCACAAACCAAUGAGAAGAGUGAAUCUUAUAGGCUUAUAAUUUCGAAUGAUAAAUUAAGGGGUUCUAAGGACUAUCAUGGCCUGCUUGAGCCGGCUACGGCUUCUUCGGAAGUGCUUUUAGAUAAGAGUUGCUUCAAGAAGCUCUAACACCUUCUUUAAAAUCCUCCUAGAGGCAGAAGCUUCAAUUGAAGCUUUUGCUUUUCAUUUUUGGUUUAUUUCACAUUUAGAUGCGCUAAAUUUUUUACCAAAUGCUUGGUUUUCCUUUUCAAUUCAACAAACUGUUUGGGAAGUUAGGGUCAACGAUGCAAUCAAGUUGAGUUUAAUACUAUGUUGCACGGAUACGGAUACGACACGAUACGGACACGGCGAUAUGGCAUUGUCCCAAAACUCUAGGAUACGAUACGCCGAGAGUACUUAAAUAAAAUAUUAUUUUAAUAUGUAUAAUAAAUUUACAUUGAUAAUAUGUAUAAUAAAUUUACAUUGAUAAUAUGUCAUGACGUAUUGAAAUAUAAAAAAUAAACAAAUGAGUAAAAGUAAAACAAAUAUAGUAUUUCCAUUCAAUCAUUCACUUACCAGUUACCACAAAACAUCAUGAUAUUCAUCUUUACAUCUUACGACUUACAUACAUGCAUAGUCCACAUCCAAAACAACAAAAAGAAAAGGAGAGGGUUAUCAUCAAAAGACUUCAAUUUGGUUCAGUUUCAUUCUCAUUUGAAUCAUCAAUAAAUACCACACUCUCCAAAUCUGGCUCAUCAAGUGAAAGAUUUGCAAUUUCAAGAAGACCAACACUAUCAAAUGUGUCGAAAGAAUCUCCUCCAACAUCCCACAUCUUGGUCUCUUCUUUUAUAUAUUCUGGAGCCCUCCUUGAUAAAAGGCGAAGAUUAGUAUGUGCAUAUACUAAAUCUUUGGCUCGUUGUGGCGUAAUCUUAUUCCUCUUCAUGGGGUGAAUGAAUGAGUAGGUACUCCAAUUCCGCUAACAUGAAGAGGAGCAAGGUUGGCUAAGUAACUUUAGGGCCAAAUUUUGGAGCAUAGAUGCUGCCGCACCAUGGAUGACCCAUCACUUCUUAGGGUCAAGAACUCCCCUAUCUUCAAUAGAGUCGUGCUCAUCAAAUCUCUCUCCGGUAGUGGAAAAAUUUGCAAACUCCUCAUUUACAACUCUUCUUUCUUCAUUAUUUGGAAAAAAUCUUUUUAAGCACUUGUUUCUCAUCUUUGAUAUCUCCAAAUCCCUAUGCGGAGGAACUCGAUUUGGAUCCUCAUUAAGCCACGAUGAGCUAUAGCAUCUAAUGAAUAUAAGAAAAAUAAAAGUUAGGAUAUGAUAGUUGUAUUACAAAAUACAAAUGAACAAAAGUAUACAUAAGGUUUAGGGGAAAAAAAUUACCUAGGGUUCAAAGAAUGUGCCAAGCAAUGAAGUGGAGUAUUGCUUUUAGCCCAUCGGUCAAUCAAAAUUUUGUGCACAACGGAAUAAAAUGAUGAUUCCUCGUCUUCUUUCUUUCCUUCACGCCUAUAUAUAGCAACUUUCACCUUUUCUAUCAUGGAGUCCCAAGUUUCAUACAUUAAAUGUAAGCAAGGCUUGUCGGUAUCGGCAAUCCGAAGCAUCUCAUAUAUAGGUUCGGUAAAAGAAAGAAUAUAGUUAAUUUGAUCCCACCACAAGUCAUUGAGAAUUCUAUCUUUUACAAAUUGUGCUUUCCCCACAUCAUCCUCCCUAUAGCUAGCCCAUUUGUCACUAAUGACCAUAUUUUGGAGACCCCGUUUGAUUUGCUUGAAUCUUCCUAGCAUGACGAUUACCGAAGCGAAUCGAGUCUCGGCCACCGCAAGCAUUUUCAAGUUGACAAACUCAUUAAAUAUUGCCAACCUCAUGGAAUGAUUCAAGAUAAAAUUCUCGAUGCAUGCUACAUCCUCCGCUAUGAUAGUAAUUCAACUACAUUCAUCAAAAGUAAUUUCAUGGGCCUCGGAUUCUUAGCCUCACAAAUAUUUUUUAAUGCAAGGUUCAAUGUGUGCACAACACAAGGAGUCCAAAAUAUUGAAGGAAAUUGCGCUUCAAUCAACAUUCCCGCUGCUUUGCACACGGGAGCAUUAUCCGUUAUCACUUGAACCACAUUUUGGGAUCCAACCUCUUCAACAACUUUCGAAAUCAUGCUAGCAAUAAAAUAUUUAUCCUUAUAUUCCCCUUCGCAAUUAACCGCUUUUAGGAACAUCGGUCCACUCUGUUACGGCCAAAAAGUUGAUCAACGGUCUCCUUUGUGCAUCGGUCCAUCCAUCACAUACAAUGCUUAAACCUUUCUCCCUCCAAGUGCUUUUUAUAGGCUCAAAUAACCUCUCAAUAUUUGUUCUUUCUUGUUGAAGAAGACUAGUUCUCAACAUAUUAUAAUUAGGAGGUAUAUAACCUGAAAUAUUAUGACUGGCGGCAAAAGUAUAGGAGCUAAUAUAAUAAGGAUUUUUUGCAAGAUUAAAAGGAAAACCACCGGAAUAAAACAUUCUAGCAAUCUCACAAUGUAGCUGGUUUUGAGCCGCCACGUUGAAAGACUUCUCUAGAGCUGUUUCACGAGUUGAUGUUGCCAUUUUUUUUCUUAGCUCGAAAGAUUGCACCCCCAUACUCUUUAUACUUGUGUCAGAAGAUUUGGUAAUAGUUUUUGGCAAAGGAACUUGUUUAGGGAUAGAAUUCUUUAACCUUAAUUCUACCUCUUCAACAAGUCUUUUCAUCUCUGCAAUAUUAUCACUAGUAACCUUAGAACAACCUUUGAUUCCUUGUCCUGAAAUUCUCAACAAAUGGGCUUUGACCCUAUAAUACGAUCCAUUAUAAACUUGUUUGCAAAAAUUGCAUUCGAACCUCAUGUUUCCUCCACCAUCCCCUAACUUUUCCACCUUUUUUACAUACUUCCAUAAUGGAGUAUUAUCAUUAAUACUACUUGAACUACCACUAGCACUACCUCCUGUACCGCUACCGCUACCAUCAGUAGAAGCUUGACUCUCACUAUUCAUUUUCUAUAAUCCUAUGCAUGUCAAGAUAAAUAAAUACAUGUAAUUAAUAUAACAUUAUUGAUAACAAGUUAACAACAUAAAGCACAAACAGCGAAAUAUAAUUUCAAUAUAGAAAAAUAUAAUGCAAUUACAUAUGUGAUGUGAGAUCCUCUUUAAGAUUCAUUCCUAAAAUAAAAGAUUUAUUCCUAAAGAUUCGUUCCUAAAAUAUAAUGCAAUUAAACAUUCAUUCCUAAAAUAACUAAUCACUAAUCAGUAAUCAAUAAUCAUGCAAUCAUCUUUGGCCUAUUAAAUAGUAUAGCUAUAUAAGGUNUGUGAUGUGAGAUCCUCUUUAAGAUUCAUUCCUAAAAUAACUAAUGAUUCCUAAAAUAAAAGAUUUAUUCCUAAAGAUUCGUUCCUAAAAUAUAAUGCAAUUAAACAUUCAUUCCUAAAAUAACUAAUCACUAAUCAGUAAUCAAUAAUCAUGCAAUCAUCUUUUGCCUAUUAAAUAGUAUAGCUAUAUAAGGUUCUAGACUUCUAGUAUGUGAAAUAUAAAUCUUUAAGAUUUUAUCAAAGAAAAAUAUACUACCAUUUAAAAAGAUAGAGGAAAAAAAAAAUACUUUGUGUUAUUUUGUAUAAUCUUUGUAGGUUAGUAAGUUGUAACAUUAUUGGCCAAUUAAAAAAAAGAAAAGCAAAAGUUAAACUCUAAGAAACACCUAAGCCCAUGGUAUUUAAAAGAAAAAGAGAGAUUUAAAAGCCCAAUAGAGUUAAAUAUAAAAGAGAGAGAGAGAGAGAGAGAGAGAGAGAGAGAGUUGAAACUUGAAAGGUUGUGAAGUUGAACAGAGAGGGGAGGGAGGGGAGGCGGGAGGCGGGAGAGAACCUCAAGUUCCUGCCGGAGGGGGAAGAGAACGGGAGAGGGAGCGGAGGGGGGAGAGGAAGAUGCUGCCGCUCGCUGUGAAGAAGACCACCGCUGCUUGCUGCGAGGAAGACCACCGCUCCGCUUUCUCUCUCUCUCGGUAUUUCUCUUCUCUCUCUCUCUCUCAGUAUUUCUCUCUCCUCUCGCAACAAAAGAAAAAGCAGAAUAGGGCUUUAUUUGUUUCUUUUAGGGUUUUGGAUGUGGGAGUUUUUAAAUCCGACCCGUUUAGACCCAAUAAUAUGUCUCACGUAUCCCGCCCGUAUCCCGAAACGUGUCCAUCCGUAUCCCAAAACGUGUCCCGCCGUAUCCCAACUUAUCCGACCCCUAUCCGAUUUUUUUAAAUUUUUUAAAAAUUCCAGAUACUUCAAUCCCGUAUCCGAUACGUAUCGGGCGCAUAUCGGGCACGUAUCUGUAUCCAAUACGUAUCGGAUACGGGUACGGGUUAUGUUUUGGAGUAUCUAUGCAUCAUUGGUUUAAUAUUAUGUAAUACAAUUCCCUAGAAGUCUUCUCUGCACUCAUUAAAAUAUCAAAAACAAUUAGUUGCUAGAAAAGAGAAAUUUAAGGCAGUUGCCUUUUUCUCUUUUAAGUACAUGUUUCUUGGUUUGAGAAUUGGCAAAAAGUGGUAAUAUAUUGUUAUCUAAGACGGCCAAUUAAAUGCUUCGUUCAAAAAGAAAUAAAGCUUCAGUUAGUAGUUGUCCCCUGCCCUCAUUUGUGGUAUCCUGCCUUUUGAGCUUAUUUAGGGUUCAUUACUAGCUGUGAAAAUGUUAUGAAUUUUUUAAUAUAAUCAAAUAACUGAACAGAACUUCGAAUUUUUAGAGAAAAGAAGUUAACUGGAGCAGCACAAUCACAUGGCUGCCUCAUGUAAAUACCUACUAGGCAAGGUUUAAAUUGCCGUGGUACGGGGGCGUGCCGCUCUUUCCCUGGCACGGUACGGCACGGGCACGCUUCCGUGCCGACAUGUGGUACGCGUGCAUGCCGAUGGAUACGCAUGACCUCCUACUGACACGCUUUGAUACGGACUUAUUUAAGUUUUUUUGAUUCUAAUAAGUUUUUAUAAUGUUAUUUUGAAAGAUUUAGACAAAUAAUUAUUAAUAUUUGCUAUGUAUAGCUUACUAUACUCAUUAAUUAACAUGCAUGUAAUAUGUAUAUAUAUUAAUAUAUGUAUAUAUUAAUAUAAUUAAAAAUAAAUAAUAUUAAAUAAUAAGUGAUAUUCAAUAUUUUAUCUGUUAUUAUAGUGAAACCUCCAUUCAUAUGGCCCCCACCUCUCGAUGUGAAAAAUGCAGUAGAUGAAGGAUGGUUUGUUUGUUGUCUUGAACGUCUUGACGUGAAGGUGUCAAUCUUUGUUUGUCGUCUUCACUUGAUUAAAAGUUGGGUUAAGGUGAAGUUGGGUUUCAGAUAAAGGUGGGGUUCAGAUGAAUGCAACUUUGUUUGUACGGGGUUCACGUCGCAUUUAUAUCUACCCGUAUAUAGUUAUGUUUCUAUAAUGGGGAGCGUGAAAUCAUAUAUCUUUAUAUUAUUUUUACAGUUUUAUUUUAAAAUCUAUCUUAACAGUUUUUAUUUUAAAAUCUUAUUUUAAGGUAGUUAAUUUAAAUAUAAUAUCAUAAAAUUUAUAAAAAUAUAAUUAUAUUUUAUUUUUAACAAUAUCUUAGAUACCAUGUGGCUUACGUUGCAUUUAUAUCUACCCUGUGCACAGUUGUGUAUCUAUAAUGGGGUGCGUGAUCAUUAUUUAUUAUCUAUUAUCUAUCUGUCUAUUAUCUAUGAUCAUAUCCUAGGCGCGAAACGCUGCCCAUGUAUCAUAAAAUCAGUUAAUUAUAUAUAUAUGUAUUAAAAAUUUUUGAAUUUUAACUUUUUUGAAUGUUACUUUUUAUGUUUUACUUGAAUUUGUAGGAAAAUAUAUAAUAUUUUCGAUAAAAAAAUGAUUAUAAAAAUUGAAAGUCAGAAAUGUCUCAAUUUCAUAAGAUUAUUGAAAUGAAUUUUUAAGUUAGUUUAUAAGAUUUAUUUAUUCUCAAUAAGAUUUCGAUAAAAAUCAUCGAUAAAAUAUUUAUUUAAAAAUUCAAUUCUAAAUUUUAACCUUCUUGAUAAGAUUUAACGGUUUAUUUAUUCUAGCAGAAGUGAAAUGAUUUUAAAUAACCUUUUUCUAUAAUGAUAAACGUGUACUACAUAUAAUUGUGUGGUAUAUGGCGCUAAAUAUAAUCUCUUGAUUAAAGAUUAUAGUUUUACAUUAAUUUAUAUAGAUUCGAUACUUGAGAUUAUUAAAUUUAUAUAAACGACUUAAUUUAAAAUUUAGUGAUAAUCUCUAAAUUUCGUAUACAACAUACAUUAAUAUAUGUAAGUUACAUCUCUUAUGAAUUGAUACCUAGUACGAGAAACUUUUCGAGGAAAAGUAUCAAGAUUCUUUUUCUACUCUUUAAAACGAACAUGGACUAUAUAUGAUUAUAAAGUAUAUAGCAUUCAUAUAAUCUACUAACUAUUUUAUGGAUUAUCAAUCAUAAUAUUUUAUUUUAUAUUAUAUCACAUUAUAUUAUAUUUUAUACUUUAUAAAAUUAUUAAAUAAAAUAAUAUCUUUAAAUGAAAAAUAAGUAUAAAAUAUAGGCCAGAUGUCGCGUUAACCGCGUGCAACUUUUAAAGAUAACUUAUAUACCGUACAAAAAUAACCGAUUCCCGAUGUUACCUCUGCACCGAGGAGGCCCUCGGUGUAAAUACUACACUGGCUUAACAGCUAAGAUAUAAGAUAUAUCUAUCUACGAAUGACAAAGUAAAUAAUCGAUUAAAUAACUAACAACUAACUAAAGGAAAAAAAGCCCGUUACGUACGAAAACGAAAUGUCAGGGACAAGAGAAUUAUGAGUUGAAUCUCGGCGUUAGUAUUGAUUACGCUAAAAUAAUUAUUUCUAGUCAGGUUAUGUAGGUGAGAUAUGGAGUAAUACAACACGAUCUUGUCAUACUAACAAUUCAACAGAUUUAACCACUUGAGAAAACACUUGAGAAAACUUAGCGUAUACAUUACGUGUUUGAACUCUUUUUAACAUAAAUCUCAUCAUUGACAUACGAAAACAACCCUAAAGAACUUUGUUAAACGUAAAAUAUAUUUCCUAUAUGAGAAUUUGUAACAUUUAAACCCAUAUUUUCUAUCCGCUACAACUCUUAACUCAGUUAAAACGUCGUUUAAACUCUAGUUUCUCCCCAAAACUCCCUAAAGAUCCUCCCUAAAAGUAUUAUGUAACUAGUGAAAACCGUUUGGUUGGGAUUAUACGUGACCAACUGUAUAAGUUCAAGUCUGUAAUUCGUGGUUCUCGAAGUUAAUUCGACCAUUAUCGAAAGGAGGGUCUUAGAAGUUCGUGUUUAAAACGUGAAUUUUACGAUUAAACGAAGAAACACGUAUACAAAAUAUAUAAACGAGGUCAAUGUUCUUCGUUAACUCAGUAAAACCCGGCCAAACCCCUGAGUUGCCGUUCUUAAACCUGUUAAGGUCUACCAGGAGCACCAAGAUUAUACUUUCGUAAAGGGGGUUGACGAGUACAAGACUUUGUAAAAUUUCCCGCUUGAUUACUCUUUUCGUUCCUACAGUGGUAUGAACUAAUCUUACAUUAGAGAGAGAGAGAGAGAGAGAGAGAGAGAGAGAGAGAGAGAGAGAGAGAGAGAGAGAGACACUUAAGGAAAAGAGAACUUUAUUGUUUACACGAAGAUAUAAUAAAAAAAAUAAGUGUUCAAACAUAAAACGUUUACCUAAGAGAAAGAAAAGAACAACAUGACAUACCUUGGAAAAUAACUUCGUAGUUUAGUUUGGUGUAACUCGGUCAAGUUGGUUGAAUGAUUUAGUUUUAGUUAAGCCUUAGUUCUCCUGUUGGGUUGGUGUGGUUUGCUAGGUUGGUGUGGUUUGUGUUGAACUAUCAAAAUCUUAAACAUUUAAGCAAAGGAUAAGAAUUCUAACAUACCAACAUUGGAGGAGGUGUUAUAUCCUCAUUGGAGGAAGUGUUAUUCUCACUCUUCAUGAGGAAAUCAACAUAUUUGAAGAGUUAUCCUGUAAUUACUUCACACACCAGAUGAUUAAAGGAAUACCAUAAUCUCUGUGCGAUUCCUUGGUUUCUAAAAUUUUUUUACCGUAGCAAUAGAUUGAGCUUUAAAGGGAAAGAGAGGUGGUAAUUACACCGUUUAAAGCAGUGUAACUUCGAGUUACUGUUGUUGAUAGACGAGACCCUUUGUGUUCAUAACAGUGACUAACUCUCAAUCCUGAAAGAACCAAAGGAGUACCCCCUCUGAUAGCGUGAUGGAUUCUGCAGCUGCGAAGUAGGCGGGCAUUUUUGGACGGUUUGGGUGUUUGGUACCGUCGCUGGGCUCGACCUCUGGUUGUGAGUAUUCCCUCCCUGUGGUCGGAUUAGGUGCGGAAUUUUCUCUCCAGUACCGACCGCCGGAGUACUAUGCCCCGGGUCAGCAUUGUUGCCUAUGCUGUGAACAGCUCCCCAUACUUAAGAGCUGCCCACUGUAGAAGUCGUCCCUGGGUAAGACCCUCUUUCUACUGUUGCAGGGCGAGGACCAUCUCACGCUGUACUUUUAGGCAACCCAUGGGAUGUUUUACGGAUCGAUCUGGUAGCCGCUAGCAACGAACGCCCAUCACAGGUUCGAGCCGUCCUCCCUCUUGUAGUCGAUCGUGUCGCAAGGCGGAGAGGAGCGACACAAACUUCAUAAGGAGUCUCUUUCCUUGUUUUUGUCCUUUCCACCAGGAGGAGGGAGCCUAUCGAGAUGGAGACAUGCACAAGGAGGGAGACUUGUAAAAGAGAUGUGAAGGAACUCCAGACGAGAAUGAAAAUGGGGACGUGUCGGUUCUUCCCACCGGUUUAAACUUCGUCGCCUUUGUGGAUUCUCCAAGUGCUGUUCUUCUGUGAGCUACCAGCGCCCGGUUUGUAGAUUUUGUGGAAGGGAAAUUUCUUCUUUUGAAGAGUAGAGACCUUGGGAGGGAGGAGGGACGACUCUCGAACGUUCAAACUACUAGGUAAACACUCUCCCUCCAACCAACGAAUUCUUCCCGGACGUCUAUCCAAAAAUGUGGUGGAGGAUGGGAGACUCGAACCAGUUUCUGGAGCCCAAAGGUGUGACGGAAGGGCGGUCUAGGUAGUAGGUCCUAUGGGAACAGGCUCUAUCCCUGUCCCGCAGGGUGGAGCUCCGCACUACACCUGGGCUGUAUUACUCGUUCUUAGAAUGGAGGGUCACGGGGUCGUGGUGAGCGGAGGGACAUCCUGGCUCUAGCAUACCGCUGGAAAAGUGUGAAAGGGAGAUGUACUUGUUAUGGUAGUCUCAGGAAGUUGCAUCGGAACUCGGUUUCCUUGGAUCGGAGGUGGAGACCAAGCUUUCCACAGUGGAGAACACUCGCGUUCGUGGAGACUCGACCGCUCCUCCCCCCGAGGAAAUGUGCGGUCCAUCAAUCGAAUCAGACGCGUGAGGGCAGGUCUGGGGUAGAAGCCGCCAGCGGGAGUGAGGGCAGGAAGGCCGUAGGGGAGUAGGUUAAGGGGCUUUGGAACGGACGUAGGCAGAACGAGGGAGAGGCAAGCGGAAACGGUAGCUAGCUAUAAUUACAACUACCUGAGUAUUCAAUUCUUUGCCUCAAUUGUACUAUCAAAUAAUGGGUUCCGUAUAAUACCCAAUGUAUAAUCGUUGUUGUUUGUCGUUUAUUUUUUAUCUUCUUUUCCUGGUGAGGUGGGGAAAUUAAUUAAAGGAGGAAUGAGCACUUCGUUACUUCAACAACCGAAGUUGGAAUCGAAAUUGCUGCAGUCUCCGAACCUGCCGUUGGUGGAGCCUGCGCCAUUAUCGCUACGGCAGGCACCUCUACCGCCUGGGCCGUCGAACCCGCAACGGAUACUUGUCCAUGUCGCUGUCGACGCCGCCGCAACCCCACUGCAGCUGCCCAUACCGUCACCGCCACCGAACCCACCGCAACCGCUGCACCCGCAGCCUGUGCUGUCGCCUGUCACGGACAGUGUUGGGCGCUGGUGAGCGGAUAAACCGGCCUAGCACCUCGGCGGCUGUCUGGUGGCUUGCCUGUCUCAGAGGUGACAUGCAGGUUCCGCAGCGUUAGUUAUGUUAUGCUCUCCAAGGUUGGUCUUUGUCAUAAAUGAGUAUCUAACGUAUUCCUUCAUAGUAUUUGUAUUUUGAUGAUUCAAUAAUGUUGUAAGUUGAAUCUAUGUAAAAUGUUGUGUAAAUGUAAAAUGUGAAAUAUAAGUUGAAGGUUUAUGUUAGUGUUAAAAAUGUUAAAUAAUGUUCAAACAUGAAACAGAAAUUUGGGGGGUUCGAUCUGGUGGUUGAGCCCAUGAUGAUGGAGUCCAGAGACCCUAUCCCCCGAUAGAUGCCUCGAUGCGGGAAUGGAGCGCGGCGACGCGGCGAGUGCACACAUGGACAUUAUGGGGUUUUGUUGCACCCCACUCUUGGUUGAAGUACCAAGGGUCACCCAUACCGGUGGGUUCGCUUUUCGAGCUGGUUAUCCAGGUUACUCCGUGACGUUGUUCAAUCAGGUUAUUAUAUGUUUUCUAUAAAUACGAAAAUGAGCUAUAACUUGAUGUACAGUACGGAGCGCUAUAUAUUAUACUUUACAUACGUUGAUACGUUCAUUUCAUCUACUAAAAUGAAAGAUAGUAAAUGUAAGAAAUAUGAUCGGUAAGAAAUGAUGAACAUUAAGAGAGAAAUAAGAAUCGAUAAGAAAUAAGAAUCAAGGUUAAAUAAGUAGCCGGUAAGAAAAGAUUCCAAUGAGAAUAGAAUCAAGAGAUACGGUGGGCUGAGCCAGAACUCAGUUAGUUUACGCCUAUUAUGCGCGAGACGGGCCGAGCUCCACUUCCUUGAGAGUGUACGUGGAGUCGGUUGGUGUCGAGUGGCGCGAAUCACUGGAUCGGCAGACCGCCGCUUGCGUAGCGUGGAGUGGGUUGUUGUCGGAUCCAAUACUGAAUCGGUGGGCCGCCGCUUUAGCAGCGUGUGCGGUGCAGCUACCAAGUCAGGUGACCGUCAUAUUAGGAGUUUGACCGAUUGGUAGGCCGCCGCUUUAGCAGCGUGUGCGGUGCAGUUACCAAGAAAUCGGGGUCCGCCACUUUAGCAGCGUGUACGGGUUGUGGUGAGAGCCACAAGGUAUUCGAGAUCCUAAGGCUUUAGGUAAAGUGUAUUGAGUUCCCAACCAGAUUUGGGAUAUCACAGCUGGAUAGAUCUAGGUUACAGGAAAGGUAGGAUCCAUAUGAACUGAGAUCCAAGUUAAAGAAAUAGUGUGUUGGAUCCAAGUGAACUGAGAUCCAAAUCAAGAGUUGGAUACAAGAAAAAUUGGGAUCCAAGUAAAGGUGAGAACAGGUUGGAUACAAAUGAUUGUGAUCCAAUGUACGGUGUGAACAAGUUGGAUACAAAUGAUUGUGAUCCAAUGUACGGUGAACUACAGGUUGGAUACAAUAAAACGUGAUCCAAGUAUACAGGAAGUACAGACUGGAUCCAAAUGAUUGUGAUCCAAGUAUAGUAAGUACAAGUUGGAUACAAGUUCUGCGAUCCAAAUUACGGUGAGCCAGAUCACAUAUAUCUAACAGGUAUACGUGUAAAGGUAAUUGUAUUUGGAGAUAUACAAUCGAACGUAGUAGAUUGUAAUUGUAAUACAGUGAAGUACAUGUUAGAGAAUCGUAGAAUGAAAUCUAUUAAUUGUACGAAUAGGUUUGAUCGUAAGAAAUGUUGAAUGGUAAUAUGUAAUGUUGAUCGUACAAGAGAUGAAAUACAAUUGUACGUUUACAGUAAAUAGAGUACGAAAAUUGAUCGUAGUAAGUAUGUACAUAAAAUCGUAAAGAUAUGAUGUAGUAUACGUUAGAUGAAUCGUAAAACGUAGUAUAACAGGUGUACGUAAUCGAUACAGUAAAAUAAUUAUACGUAGUUAUACUUAAGCAUACAAAGAAUCUGUAUUUCCCGCUGGAUCAGCGAAGCCAUUCGUGUUGGGCGGAAUUUAACGAGAGGCUAAUGAACAUCAGUGAAUGUUAGCCGGAGGGCGCCGUGGGCACUGGGCCAAGCCGGGCUUGAGAGCGUGCUGGUGGGCUUGCCGGUGGUUAGGCGCUAAACUUUUAAGACCUCAAAUAGGGAGCUGUGGUGCUACGAAGCCUAGGCUAGAGUACUAAAAAUCUGCAAAUAAGGCGCACGACGCCGAUAGACAUGCUUUGUUACAAUAAAGCAGUUAUUGAAGCGCAUAUGAGCAGCCUAACAACUUGGCUCGCAAGGUAGCGCAAACAAACCAGGGGUUAAUCCAAAGAUGUUCCGGUUAAACGGGAUCUUUGUAGGUCUCCGUUUUCGAGAUUUAAAACCACAGGAUUGUUACAGUAUUAGUUUAAAGAACCCUAACUAGAACAUUGAUUCGUAUUAGUUCGAAUCUUGGUGGGUUCUUCGAGAUAUUAGAGUAAAGAUUUGGUAAACUUGGUAAGAAUCCCAAAGAUGAACCUUGGGAUUGUAAGAUGGUAAUCUCGUGUACUUCGAGUGUACCCAAAAGUACCACAAGUACCGGGUUGUUACGAAGAUUCGAACGUUCUUUCAGGUUUUGUGAUCUAGAAACCUAUUUUAGAUUUGGGAUCUACUUUAGAACGUUCUUGAGUGGAGUUCAGGGUUCGAGAUGGUUCAAGAGAAACAUCCUCUCGAGGUUCUAGAGGGGUUUCGAGGUUUUACAGGAGAUUAUUAGAAAAAGAGGAAGAGGAACUCGAACUACCUCUCGAAAAUCUCUCUCUCUCUCUUCUUUACCCUCUUCUCUCCUCCUCUCCCCGACGACACUCUCCUUCCUCCCAAACCCAAAUAAUUAUCACACGUUGUUAACGUUGAUUCGGGAGGUUUAUUAGUAUAAACGUUAUCUGGUUAAAACACGACAAGAUGAUGUCGCAUGGCCAUCUGCCCGACCACAGUGGCCAAUGUGCUAGCGCGUUAUCGGUUUGGGCUCUCGGAAGAAGAUCCUAAAAUGUGACGCAUGGCCAUGUGUGAUCCCCACAGUGGCCAUGUGCCGGUAAAAAGUCCUGAAUGGGUUAAAAAGUUGAAAAAAAAAAAAAAAAAAAAAAAAAAAAAAAAAAAAACGAAAAACCGGAAAAGAAAAAGAAAAAAGAAAACAAGAGACCCCAUGGUUCGGGUAUAACGAAAAAUAAAUAGUUAUAGCUGAGCUCGGGAGACGAAGGUGGUGUCUGUAGAUAUAAAAAAGAAGUGUUUAAUAAAACAGUUUUAAACAGCGUGGCGCUUCGAAAGCCACUUAGUCCCCUUGUUUUUAGCUAGAGGAUUUGUUUAAAACUAGUAUAUAAAAAAUUUUCUUAUUUUUCUUUAUUUUAUACUUACAUUAACGACAGGAUAAUAAAAUGAACGCUUAAAAUAAUAACGUAAAAUUAAAAAUAAGAUGUAGUCCAUAUCAACAUGAAAUAUAUGUUUUACCNNNNNNNNNCCCCCCCCACUGUACUGUGCCCCCUUCUUGGGGGCAUGGUACGGCACGGGGCGACACUUAAUUCCUUGCUACUAGGUAAAUGGAUAAAGAUUCUAGGAUUGCGUCCGUAUAAAUUAUACACCAUAAAUUAAAUUGGUACAUAAAUAUGCAUUAGAUAGAUGGAUAUAUAUUUCCUUCAUGUAAUUUGUGAAGCCGGCUCACCUUAUGUUUAAUGGUUCUUUUUAGGCUAAAAUGCAGAGACCGCCUUGAAUGUAUCCGUUUUUUCACUUUUCCUUCCUGACUUUCAAAAACCUACAUUUUGCCCCUUAUAAUUUCAUAAAUGUUUUCAGGAGGGCAUGGCGUUAAUGGAGAGGGCAAAAUGAUCAAAUUGCCUUCUUCUAUAAGGAUUUUUUAAUAUACUUCUGUAAUUUUAAAGGGCAUUUUCGGUAUAAAUUAUAAGAAAUUGAUGGAAUAGUUAUGGAACCUUGAUGGAGGGGGACUAAAUGCAACAACUUGAAAUAUUGAGGGGGUAAAAUAUAGGUUUUUGAAAGUUAGCGAGAGAAAGUGAAAAAAUAGAUAUUUAUAAAGGGCUCUUUUGUAAUUUAACCUUGUUUUUAUUAUAAAGUGGCAAAAGAUGACAAUAAACAGUUUGAAGAUGAGAAUUUGGAAUGCUUGUAUCUAGUUCGCGUCUAGUAAACUCCUCAAGUGGCCUGAGGUGUUUAAUUAUCCAGCAUGGCCAAGAACUCAAACUUUAGAGUGCUACAUUUGCACUUAAACUUGAAUUCUGCCUGUUGAGAACAAAGACACAAGAUCUUAUGUUGGCACAACAAUAACUCUUGUAGAUCUUGAAGAGCUUUUUUUUAUCCGUUCUAGCAAGUUGGUAACUCUAGCAUCACUUAUUCUGUUGGCGACACAGAUUUUAGAUAUUUCAGUUGCGUAUCCUAAUACAGUAAAUGCUUUUCUCUUGUAUCUCUGAUAUAUUUGUGCUUCAAUGUAAAUUAAGUUAAAAAUUACAUAAAUUAACAUGCUUUGUAACUCUAGUUCUUCACCAAUUCUUACAAAUACUAUAGAAACUCUCAAUGGAUUCAGUUGGUACAAUCCUUCAGGAACUUCAUAUUUGGACAAUUCAACUCCUUUUUUCCACUUAAUUGCUGUAACAGUUCAUCCUAGGGUUGUUGUAAAAUUUUCACUCAUUAAUAACGGCAUAUUUUCCUAAUAAAAUCUGUCUGGCAACAAUUUCGGCUAAUUUCUUUCUCACUAUGAGUUUGUUCUACAACUUAAAUUGUUUAUUUGGUUUCUGCAAUUUAAAGUCGUUGAAAUUAUGGGAUUUAGCAAGUCCGGCUGUUACCGACCAUUUGGAAAUCCAGAAAGGAGAUGCCAAACUCAACUAAGAAUAGAUAUCUGAGGUAGAUAAAUGGAAAAUUGCAAGUAAUUUUGUACCUAAGGUUUUACGUUAUUACCAUAUUGAUGCUUGUACUCGGCCACUAUAUGAGGAUUUUGAGAUGAGCUAAAGGACGAGAACCAAUAAGGUAUAAAUUCACAAAUUUAGGUAGUAAAUACAUACUUUAGAUCAUCUGUCAAGCAUUUAUUUUUUAACUAAGUUGGCAUCUCCAUAUAUCUUCACAUCACUUGGCUGCUGGACUUUGAUUGACACGCUUAUUACAUGAUAAACCUGCAUCUGCAAUAUCGUAUAGUAUAGCUGUAUAGGUGACUAAGUUGUUACUCAAUAUCAUACAAACUUGAAGUAUUAAAAUUUUAUUUUAUGCUUACCAAAAUAUAUGCUCAGAGCAGUUUCUUGUCCUUUUUGUUUAUUGGGAGGAAGCAAGUAAAUACGAUUUGUGUUUAGUCGCUUCCUUGUUCCAUUUCUUCUGUAGCUCUAUGGGGAAGGAUACAAUUUUACUAUCAUUCAGCAGUGCUUCUGUCUCUCCAGUUGAAGUUAGUGGAGAAACUCAUAUUCUCGAGUGUUUGUUUGAGGACUUAAUCCCAGGGAUAGUGAUAUACAUUCUAAAUGAGAAGUUUAGUUCAAGAUGGUUGACUAACCAUGUUUGGCUGAGAAUCCUAAUAAAUAGUUGGAAAAUGGAUAUGCCGUGAGGAUGCUGCAACUUCGGAAUCGCUGUCUCCAAAAUAUACUGGUUCCUGAUCGAAUUCCAAGUGGACAUGGAUGAUAUUGUUGACAUUGUAUUCGGGAGGAUAGCAGGACUAUCUUCUACUAUCCCCCACUCUAUCCUCUGAAAAAGUACUUAUCCUUUCGUUUGUUUUCUCGACAAUUGCUAGGGGGUUCUGUUGUCGCUUCUUGAGACUCUGUCCUUUGUUUUGCUGAAAUUCAAUCGCGGUACGAGUUAUGAAUCUCUUUGAUAUAUUUUUUGUUUUACUUAAAAGCAAAUCUUUAAGGGUGGUUUUGUUCUGUAGCUCUGAUGCUUAAUUUUACUUCCGGAGAGAAUUUGAAUACCCCUGCAUCAAAAUGGAAGUGGUUAAGUAAGAUGCCCAAAAUUCUGGUAGUACAUGAAUCAUGUAUCUGAUUCAGCAUUCUGGUAUAAAUUACCCUGUCUGUUAAGUUUCCAUUAAAUUGGACAAAAAUGUCUGAUUGCCACUUACAUGAUAGUAACCGCCAUCUAACCCUCGAUGGCUUUUCUCUUUCCAUGAAUUCAUAGUCUGGGAUGUGUUGUUUGUGGCAUCAUUUUGGUCAAAAUUAGCACUUUUCAAACUAAUCUUACCUUCUUUUGCAAUUGUUUUCUUCAGCCCUCUGUGAAUGGUGAAUAUCCAAUCAGUCUCUUUUGAAGGAUGCACCUCACUGCUCUAAUUCAACAUGUUUGGAUCUUUUUUGCCAUUUUCUUUUCCCCUUUCAUUUUGUCCUCAUAGAAGCUGCAUAAUGAUUAUUUCACCCGCACAUCCUCUUCUUUAAAUCUCCCGUUCUAGAUAGGCAAUAAAAAAAAUUUAAAUAAAACUCUCAAUGAAAUGUUAGUUAGUUUUAACGUUUUGGUUAAUCCAAGUUUUUUCAAAAAAAUGUCAGAAUUAAUUUGGGUGAAGAUUGGUCUGCUUGUGCUUUUACCUGACAGGACUGAAUGGCUAGAUUUAUAUUCCGAGAGAUAUUUCUUAUUUUUGGUCUACUAAGGAUGAUUAAACCAAAAGAAAAAAAAAUAAAAAUAAGAAGAACUUGUUAGUGAAUGCCUUAUUCUGCUGUCUCUUGAGAAUGUUGACUUUGGAUCUACGAUGAGAUCGUUUGCUCUCAGACAAAAGUGUUAUUUGAAUAAAACUAUUUAGAGACAAUUAGAUGAAGAAGACAACGGGCAGUGGUUAGGGCUGGCAAAUGAGCGGGCAAGCUCGUGUUCGGCUUGUGUUCCAUUCGGUAUUUGGCUCGCUCGAGCUCGACACGAAAUUAAAUGAGCCGAGCUUGAACAGGCAAAAAAAAUCGAAAUUUAUUUCAAAUCGAGCUUGAGUAUUGCCGAGCUCGAAAAGCUUGAAUAUAUAUUAUUAAAUGUAACUAAAAUAUCUAUUAAUAUAUAAUUAUAUAUAUUUAUAAAUAUCUUAAUAUAUAUAUAUGUAUAUUAAAAAAUUUUAUAAAUAUAUAAUUUUAUAUAAUUGUAUUUUAAUUAUAUAUAAGAAUAAUAGUAUGUACUAUGUAUUUUAAUUAUAUUUAUAUAUAGAGUUUAGGGUAUUGUACUAUAUUUACUAGUCUAUAAGACCAAAUCAGUAAAACUGUACUCUAAUUAUUGUCCGUUUUUUUCACUUUUUCGUAGAGUUGCUUCCUCUAAAUCAAUUUAUAAAUCAAUUCUUUUAAUAUUAUAAUGCUGUAUUUUAUGCAUUUAUUUUGCAUGUUGAACUAUUAGACAUAUUUUUAUAUCAAAUUCUAGAUAAUAUUUAUAAAAAUUAAACUAUAAAUUGUAUGAUGUUAAGAAAUUCAAGCGGCUCGUUUAUGGCUCGAGCUCGGUCGACUCAAAGUCAACUCAAGCAAGCUCGAGCUCGACUCUAAUUUAUUUCAAGCCGAGCUUGAGCUUAAAUUUAGGCUUGAAAAUAAUUUCAAGAUACACUUGAGCUGGAAUAAGCUCGCUCGAGCUCGGCUCAUUCCUACCCCUAGCGGCGGUUCUUGUGCUUUUACAGCUUGGAAGCUCGUCUGAGUUACCUAUUCUGGAUAGACACUUUUAUCUAUAAUUUCUAACUGCAAGAAGCAAAAUUUAAAUUUUGAGCCUCAAAUCGAAGCUUUGGCCUCAAAUCGAAGCUCGUCUGUGUUUGUUUUUAAGUUUUAAUAGAAUUUUGUAUAUCAGAAAAUACAGGAAUGGAUCGUGAAUUGAUUGUGUUAUUUCAUUCAAACUAUUUAUUUAGCAAAAGAAAAAUAAAAAUUUGAGAGCAAUUAUUUUUGCUUCGAAUUUUUUUCAAAAUAAGUCAUCAUCUAUUACUUAGCCAGAUGUAUUAUAAACUAGCCAACAAAAAAAGAUCUUUCCUCCAACACAUCAAGUUAUAUGAAAUUUGCAUUUUUAAAAAAAUAAAAAACAAACAAGGUACCUUAACUUGAUAUUUUUUGAUUUUGUUAUAUAGAGAAAAAUUAUUGAGGAACAUAUACUUAUUUCUCCUAAUGUGAGAUCCAAAUAAUCCUAUAUAUGAGAUAUAAUAAGAUUAAAAUUCUUAACCCGACUAUAAUAUUUUUGGCGGUUGUUAGGUCAAAGAGAUUAAAAGAGUUAAACGUCGGAAUAGUCUUAGGAUGGAUGACUAUCUGAAAAGUAGGACGUCAUACCUAAUAACACUACUGAAAGACAAGACUAAUUUGAUAAUUUAAUUUGAAAGCAUUAGUGAGAUUAAGAAUACCAAAAGAGGCCUUAAUUUGAUAUUUCUUGAUUUCUUGAUUUUGUUAUAGAGAGAAAUUAUUGAGAAACUUAUAAAUACAAUAUUUCUCCCAACAACGCUACUCGCUACUAAAAGACAUGAUUAAUUUGAUGGUUUUAUUUGAAAGCACUAAUGAGAUAAAGGUUAUCGGAGUUUCACCUAUUCAUCCUCUGUUAUGGAAGGUUUAUAUAUAGGAUUUUGCUCAUUGAAGUUUGUUAUUUUCCUUCUCAGUGCUAACAAGAUAAAAGAAGCGGUUUUCCAACUGGGUGGUGAUAAAGCUCCGGGCCCUGAAGGGUUCCCAUUAUGAUUUUACCAAACUUUCUGGGAGACCAACAAGGGCGAUUUACUCAACUUGUUUCAGGAGUUGUACGAGGGAAGGCUGUCCACCGCUCCCUUCGACUACUCCUUUAUAUGUCUGAUCCCCAAGAAGGAAGGGGCGGAGAGAGCAAAUGACUUCGGACCUAUCAUCCUCAUUAACAGUACCCAAAAGAUCAUCUCGAAGGUCCUAGCAAAUCGUAUUGCAGCAGUGACAAACGAGCUAGUUUUACCCUCACAAUCAACAUUAUUGAAAGGGAGGAACAUCACCGACGCGUAUGUCACCGUGUCAGAAAUAAUUGGCUGGGGUAGUAAGAAGGCCACCGAGGGGGUCGGCAUUAAAGUGGACUUCGAAAAGGCUUAUGAUAAGAUCCACUGGCCCUUUCUUUUUAGUAUUCUCCAAUGGUGGGGAUUCGACGCGAAAUGGUGUGACUGGAUCGAACAAUGUGUAUGCAACGCUAAAGUAGCUAUAUUGGUCAACGGAGAAGCGACCAAUUGGAUUAAAACUAAGAGAGGAGUGCGACAAAGGGACCCGCUAUCACCAUUCCUGUUCUUGUUGGUGGCGGAGUGUCUCGCUAGAUUAACUAGCGAUGCCAUUUCUAACAAUCUAUUCAAGGGUAUUGGUCCAUCUGACGAGAGUACAACGACUCUCACACAGUUCGUGGAUGAUACUUUCUUCUUUUCUAUGGCUAGAAAAAGAUAUAUGAGAAAUCUCAGACUAAUGUGGCACCUUUUCGAGUGGGCUUCUGGUUUGAAAAUCAACAGAGAGAAGACUGAGCUCUAUUAUCUCGGACGGGUUGAGGGCGAAGUGGCAAGACUAGCGAAUGUGCUUGACUGCAAAGUUGGCACCUUCCCCACCACCUACCUAGGGUUCCCCCUUUCCCCAACACCCCCCACAAAGGAUGCUUAGAGAGGGGUAAUUCUGAAACUACAACAUAGAAUCGAUGGAUGGCAAGCCAAACUCCUUUCAAGAGGGGGCUGACUUAUUCUUGUCAACGCCGUGCUUUCCAAACCACCUCUUUUCUUUCUAUCGGUAUUCAAGACACCCAGUUGGGUAAUCAAGCGUAUCGAAGCCUUGCGUAGAGAUUUCUUUUGGAGUGGAGAAAGCAACUUCUCAGGCAAGGGGUGCCUAGUGGCAUGGAAGAACGUCUGCUUGAGCAAAAUGGCAGGCGGGUUAGGCAUUCUGGACAUUGUUAUUAUGAAUCGUGCACUCCUGGCCAAAUGGUGGUGGAGAUUUCACACAGCAUCUCACCUGCAGUGGAUCAAGAUUAUCCGUGCAUUAUUUUAUCAAAGAAGAAGACCGCUGCGGGAGGGAAAAUGCUUCAGGCCUUCCUCACACUGGUGGAAAGGAGUUUUAACCACCAACGAUAUCUUCAAAUGGGGAAUCAAACACAAGCUAGGCAAUGGGAGCUAUAUUGACUUUUGGUCGGACAGAUGGUGUGGGGAUACCACACUCCAAACAUCCUUCCCGGAGGUUUACGCGUUGCCCGAUUGCAAACCAAUUCUGGUUAGGGAUUGCUUUGAAAGUGAGGACUAGAAUUGGAUUAGGAUCCUGGGCGAUGAGUCGUCCUUUCCGCCUAGUCUGAGUCCCAACCUGUCGGCGCUCAAAGAUAGGGUCAGCAGUUUUAGAGUAGGACACAGGUCGAACAAGAUAAGGUGGAGAUGGUGUAGCAACGGUAUUUUUUCUGCCAAUUCUGCUUAUAGGACGGGCUAACAUGAUCUGGAGGCUCCAAAUACCACUUAAGGUCGAAGUGUUCUGCUGGCUAGUCCUUAAGAAAAGACCUCUUACAGCUGAUAACCUCAUAAAGAGAGGAUGGACCGGAGAUACGGCCUGUGUGAUGUGCAGGGCUUACGACGAGUUUGUGGACCAUCUGUUUACUCAAUCAAGUAUAUCGUGGUGAUGGGCCUCGAGGACGUUCAGGCGGGAGAGUUGGGUGAUGAUGUACAGGUAGUUUGGGAUAGGAGGACGGGGAGGAAUGGUGCGCAUAAUAGAAGGAAUGGACUUUCUGAAUUAGCCGCCUGCUGGUGGACCAUUUGGAAGGCCAGGAACAACCUUAUCUUUCCUAACAUACAGCUAGACCCUGUAUUAGCUGUUCAAAGGCUCAAGCUGUUGAUUUCUUCUUGGAAAGAUCGUUCUUUUCUUGAGGCCUUGGUUGCCUCACCUUUGUAGCCUAAUUUAUCCAUUUAAUGAAUGAAGCAAGUAGCGUACUACCUAUUCUCUCAAAAAACAAAUAUAUUAACACAAAUUAGAAUUUUCACAAAUGGUGAAUCAGUGCCUUCAAUCUCCUACUUUGCUGCUUGAUUUAAGUUGUGCGCUUUUUCACUUUUUAAGAUAGAAACAAGCUCACUGCACUUGCUCUAACGAAUUACAUUGUCAAUGAGCAAUAAAAUAAAUAUUCUGAAUUACAUCGUCAGUAGGCAGCAAAAGAAAUAUUCCGAAUUACAUCGUCGAUAAGCAGUAAGAGAAAAUAUUCUGCCAAUGCUACAACAGGCAAAUAUGACUUUUUAUUUACAAAUGGUAGCCUAGUGUCUAGUAAUGCAUUUUGCUACUUGCUUUUUCGAUGACAAUUACCACUGCAAAUUUAUAGUUUAAACGGAAAAAAAAAAAUGAAAUCAUUUUUUAGACUUCUUAAACCUUUUAUAUAAAAUUGGAUACUUUUGAAAAUGUAUUACCGAACCUAACCUAGGUCAUGGUAACUCAAAACACUUCUUUAAACACUUAUAUAAAUACAAAGUUUGAUUACCACGAAUACAAUAUAAAGUAAAUAUGACUUUUACAGCAAUACACGAAGCUGCAGUGUUAUCUUGACAUGACAUUCGAUUGUUUGAUUUUUAUGCCGUAUUUGCCAUUUUUGACUUAUCUUCAAUGAAAUUUAUGAGGCCAAAUAAAUCCAAACAAGUUUGGAAAACUCUGAUCAACAAAGACAAAAUAAAGUGAAUUUAGAUUCACCAUGAACUAAUAUGAUUAAACACUCAAAGAGUAAACGAGGGGGAAAUAAAAAAAAUAAGAAGAGUAUACAUUGUCAGAGUGACAUAACCGAACUCUUUUUUUUUCCUACAUUGGCUAAGACUAAUUAAUAUUGUGGUUUCCACAUUUCCAUUCUAAAAUAUUAAAAAAUUUAAAACCUAUGAAACUUACCGGACAAAUGGGUUAAUCUUGAAUUGUCCGUCCAACUUUUCAAAAUUUUAAUUUUUCUAUAUAAUUAUUUAAUUUGUUUAAUUUGAAUUAAUCAGCAACACUUUAAUUUCAAAAUUUAAGUGCUUCAUUUAUCUUUACAAAUUUAGCUAGUAUAUUUUAUGCAAUUCUCACAACUUCAAAUUUAUUAAAAUAAAUAAUUAACUUAAAUAAGAAGUUGACACUGUUGUUACUGACUCAAACAAAAUAAAAUAAAAAAAUGGAUAGUAAAAUCAAAUUUUGGAUUAAUUCAGAUAAAUUUUGCAUAGUUUUUGCCUAUUAAAAACAACAUUUACCAAAUGGAACAUUGAUCAAUCAAAGGGAGUAGGCAAGAUAAAGUAAAUAUACAUGUAACCAAAAGAAGUAUUUGUUAACAGGGUUGAUAUACCGAUCUCAAAUAAUUCAUGGUGGCCAAGCGAAAAUCACAAAAUAUUCACAAGAGGAUUUUAGCCCUAUUUCAUCUCCCUCCUAUAUUUAACGAAAAAAAGGAGGAACUUCAUAAAGAUUAAAAAAUAUACUCUGAGAGUGUUGUUUAAAGAUUUUUCUCCCUCAUCUGCUGCGAAAUUUAACUCUCAGCCUAACCCAAGAGGGGGAUCUCCAAUUCAUAGAGCCUUUUUCCACGUAGAAGCCUCAUCUUAAACCAGUAUAAGCUAUGGGAAAUCCUCAAAAGCAAGAAGCUUAGACGCGCAUGGACCGGAUAACGACAAUUUUUGCGGCAAAUGCAAUAUUCUUGUGGCAUCUAACCAAUCAGGUUGUGCAGUGGGAUUAUGGGGCAUAAAUUAGUUCACCUUGAUCACCAUUUCCCCGAAGCAACAGCAGGUCUCCUGCAAAAGUAUUGCGCUCCAUAAGCUGCCCAUGAUGUUACCGUAGUUGAGGCCACCAACCAGCUGCAAAGAGAUAUAAGCAUUAAUUCAGUACGUUUUUAAGAAAACCUACAAACCUUUUCUUCGAUAAAGCAAGAAAAAUAAGCAAAUUACACAAAUAACAGUGAGAAUCUUAGUCAUAUACGCAUUAGGAGCACAAAAUUGCACCAUUUCAGUUACUCUCCGCCCGUCAUCAUUACAACAUGCAAGCUGUGGACAGAUGCUUACUCGAUUUAAGGUGCCAUUUCCAUAUUGGUUAUGGCAUCACAGAAAACUGAUGCAUCCAAUAAGUGUCAGAUACUUCAAAGGAGCAUUCAGCGUUUUAGAAAUUAGGCAAAUGGCCAGACAAUUGGGGGAUACUCAUAAGGACACGUGCUAGAUAUCCAAUAGAUAUGAGCAGGAUACAAGGCAGGUUUUUGGGCGAUUUGUAAGGAGUGAGAUCUGAAAAUACGUUACAUAAGCUACCAAACAUGCAUUUGGAUGAAAUUUGCAUCAUGGAUUAACAGUUGAUAAGUUAAUGAGUUUACUGUAUUCUGCCAUACAAUCAUCCAAACUAUUUCACAAUAUUUUGUUAUUAAGAAAAUCUACACUUGAAACAACUUUUAUUCCAAUAUCCCCCACCUUGUCAUAUACUAAGAUUUGUAGAAUUUGUCAUAUCAUUGUUCUUCAUGUGCUAUGUCAUAUCUAUAUCACAUAUUUGUCCCUGUCCGACACACUUUGUAGGCAUUUAAUGAACAGAUUCAUGCAAGCAAAUACUGAAAACCCUCUCCAGUUCUUUUUCGUUUAUUUCUUUUCACCUUCUGAAAGAAGCAUUUAACCUUGCCUUUUUCAUCAAUGCUAUCUGUACAUCCAAAAGUUACCUCCUCAAGCUACUCUGUUGGUUUACCAGCAUGCCAGUAAAAACAAAUAACUUGAAAGGAAAAAGUAUAAAGAAACACAUUACAAAAGCACUGUCUAUGAAACAUAAAUCUCAAAGGAAACCCUCAUUUUACUUGCAUUAACUAGUUAAAUAUAACAUCACAAAUAAUUAAGCUUUUGAGUUGUCUAUAUUCAGAUCAGAGCAAGCAAGAUGACAGCAAAAGCUUCAUUUAUAAUUCAACUAGUUAAUCGAUUAGUUUAGUUUCGAUUAACUAAUUAGAGCUUUGUAAGAUCAAUCAUAAAAGAUUUUAAAACAGGAUAAUUACCUUAAAUUUGUUAUAUACAAUUGGGUUUCUGCAGUGCCUAAUUCUGGUUGAAGAAGAGCAGCUGCAACUAAAACCAGUUGGAAUCCUGUAUUCAACUGCACCAAACUCCACUAUUAGAAAGAACUGAAGCAUAUGUAUUUAGCUAAAACUACCAGGUAGUCCCUGAACUUUCAAUACAUUACAAAAUCGUCCCUGAUUUCUCACUUGCCUGGUAGUCCCUUAAACUCACCUAGUUUCACCUGUUUAUGUGAAAGAUGAAUCUACAUUGCUAUUCAUAAAAAAUUCAAGGACAACCGCCAAGAAUUUAAUUGCACAUUGGCACGGGCCGUACCGACAGUGCGAUACCGUGCCGACAAGAUAUCGGCCUGAUAUGGCCUCCAUGCAAUGCCACGACUCAAAACCCUCUUUUCUUUGAAAUUAGCAAAUAGUUACCUUAAUAAAGUGUAAAAGAUUUGGACAUAGAAUAAGUAGAAUAAAUUAGCGCCAAAGAAAAUAAAUAUUUUAUGCCCUUGUAGCUGGGCUCAGAUAUUUUUAGUAACUAGCACGCAUCGGCACGGCAUGACACGCACCAUGCCAUACCGUGUCAUAUUGUGCCAACAAAUUUUUAGCACAACCCAUUCCACAAUACUUAAGAUCUUGCUACUUGCACAUUUUGCUUUAUAUUUUUGAAGCAAACAAUAAUAUCCUUUUUAUACACAAAAAAAACACAAUUGACAUUUUGCAUAAUGGGGGAAAACAUGCCUUGCUUAUAAAGAGAGGCUCCACUUUCUCUCGAUGAUUUGCAUCAAGGUUGACAAAAUCCGACCAACUGUUCCACUAAAAUCCAACAAAAAUAUAUUGGUGAGAUUAGAGUAAGCUGAUCUACUUAUUUACUACAUAAACGUAUGUCAAGUUCACCUGCCACCCCAAGAUAGAAGCUCUUCUGUAGACUGCACCACUGACAAGGGCAACAUCUCUUAAGAUCACCAGUCCAACUAGUUCAGCUGUUUAAACACAAAAAAAAGGAAAAAAAUGGGGGGGGGGCGGGGGGGGAAGUAACAAAUCCUUGGUCCAAUUAUACCACUGUUUUAUUCUCUCUUUUUUUCAAGGAUUUUAAGAUGUUUUAGAGAAAACUAGUACAUGAUUCAGCAAAUAGAUAAGAUAGUAAACCCAUUUUAAACUUACUAUAAACCAUUUUAUAGCUAGUGAUACUGAGGCUAGGCUAAAUAACGUGUCAUUAAAACAUGAUACUGCUAAUUUGUUCACUAGGGUACUCAAUUUGAUUAAUGAUUGAAUCGAAUGUAAUUGGAAGUUUAAUCUACCAUUUUAUUGUUACUCUCUCAUGUGGAACUCAAAGUAAUUUCAUUUUCAGAACUUAGGUAAACUUAAAUAUUGGGUUGCAUUGUUCUUUUGUGUAGUAUUUAAUAAUUAUUAUAUCUAAUUUAUUAUGAAAUAAAAAUCAUUUUUUGUAAAUAAAAGGCAAGAGCAAAGUUGGCAUUUUGUAAAUUCAACCAUCGUUCUUCGUAAAUAAAAGGCAAGGGCAAAGUUGGCAUUUUGUAAAUUCAACCACCAUCUUUUUUCACUAUUCUAUACUAUUCCAUAUAAUUAACCAAACACAAUGUCAUUUAUUCCAGAGAAUAACAACUUUAUAAACCAAACACAAUCUUAUUUUUAUUCCUGACUAUUCCGGAAUAGCAAGCUAUCCCGAAUAUAAAAAAAUUUAUACCCGUACUAAACGGGACCUUAAGAGUAUAACAACAGGGGAAAAAAGCCAAAGAAAGAAGUAGUGCUUGAUAUUGUCAAUAUAAAUGAAAAUAGAUUAUAUGCUGUCUCUUAGGACAAUAAUAAUCCGAUUUGAUAAGCAAACUGCAAUAUGAACUGCAUAAUGCACCUUCACAACUUUCAUAGCAGAAGAGAAAGGGCAAAGCUCCCAUAAAGCAUGAAUGUAACUUUGGAUACAAGCACAACUGAUACAGAAAAUAUAAUGAUAUUACAUAUUGAUUGUGAGACCAUCACUAGUUUAUUUAUCAAGAAGAAGCUACAAAUCGCAUCAGAGCGUAAGAAACAAUACAAUACUUAUGAAGUUUAGAACCAACAAGAAUUAAGAUAGACAACUUCAUAAAUGUUCAUGGAUUUCAUUAGUCACCAUUAUUUAUCCAACAACCAUUGCUUAUGUGAUGCAUAGGCAAAAUUUGAUUUUAACUGCAAAAUACAGAAUAUUUUUUAUGUGAUAAAGAUAAGUACAUGAAAUGAUAAGAUUAUAGCUGUAUUUAAACCAGGAUUAAUUGGUUUAGAUAUGAUGAACUUAAAUUCAAUUUAAACUUCAAGUAGAUAGUUUCAUUAGAUUUAACAAUUUCCUCUAGAUUCUAGUUAAAGCUGAAUAACUAAAUUGACCGUUGAAACACAUUUCACAUUACUACAGACCCUAACUAUAAUCAUAUGCACAGUAUUAUCUUCGGAUGGAUUUUCGUCAAUUGUGACAAAAACGGCAAUGAAGUUUCUACUUGAGCAUAAAAUAGAUUAGAUUAGAUACCAAGUCUAUGAAAUUUUAACAAAUCCAGCAUAUCCCCGCCACAACGUACUGAAUGCAUCUAAGAAUCAUAGAGAAGUUACUUACGGUGUAAGAGGUCCUUUUUAACCAUAGCCAGAGCAACACAACCAAUUAAAACCUGUUCAAAGAGGUUAAUGACAACCAGAACAUAAGGAGCUACAAAGAAACUAACAAACAUAAAUGUUUUAUUUGCUUAAAUAUUCCAUGGAUUGACAUUAAACCUUGUCAGCCAGUGGAUCAAGAUAUGAGCCAAACACGGAAUUGAUUCCCAUCCUCCUGGCAAGAAAGCCAUCCAACUAACACACACACACACACACACACACACACACACACAAACACACACACAAAGGAACAAGUGACAAAUUAAGAAUGCUGGCAAAUUUAUUAUCACAAUGAUUCACAGAAUAUGCAUUCUCUCACCCAAUCAGUUGCUCCAGAAAUAACUAGAGCACCAAAAGCAGGAAGAUACCAUUCAUUGAUAAUCAUCCUACACCAAGUUAGUAGUUCAUUAGAAUUUCAAAGAGAUGCAGCAUAAUAGACUUUCUUUGCCCAAUAAAUUGUGGAACUUCAACUCUGUGAAGUGUCAUAACAAACUUUCGUAUCAUAAUAAGAUAAUAUUUCUCCAGGAAAAGUGUUUAACUCCUAUUGAAUUAUCUAACUUUUGAUUAGGGGAAAAAAUGAAAAUUCUAGAUAUGAACUUAUCUAGCUUCAAUCAACAAUUCUUUGCUCUGCUUAAGCUUUUUAACUCAUGAAUCUGACUUUUGCAUCUGCCUUUACAAAUCUAAUCCUUCUACAUAUUUGUAUACAGAACAAAAAGAUGUGAUAAAUGCAGUUCGAGAUUUGCCUCUUGAUUUUGAAGACUAGAGAAGAUAGAACAAUACAGAACCAACACUAGCAAUCACACAAACGAUACGCAUUAUAAGUUUCUUCACUCAAUCUUUACUCCAGAACCAAACAAACAAACAACAGCAACUUCAUACAAGUUUACAUGUUAAGAGAAGGGGUUUGAGCAGUUGAACUAAUUUACUUUUGAAUUAAAAGCUAAAUAAUGAGCUCACAUAAAAAGUUUUUAUGCCCUUCCCUAUUUUUUUUUUCUUUUUCCCUGUAACUCUGUGGCCAGAUUGGAAUUCAACACGCAUGUUUCCAAUAAGAUGUUACACCUUUACACUGAACUUUAACAGCAACAGGCAGUUUUUAAUAUACCUAGUUUUUGAAAAGGCCCAAGGCGUGCCAAGGCACAAGGGGCUUGUAGAGUUAAGGCGCAAGGCGCAGGCGUGCGAUUGAGAGAGGUGAGGUGCAACUUUUCGUAAUAUUUGAAGAUAUAAAAAGAAACAAACAUAAAAAGAUCAUCACAAGUAAGCAUAAAACAAUAUAAGCAUAAGAUAACCAAAGUAACAAGCCAAAAACACUUUAAGUGUUCUAGCAUAGUGUUCUAGCUGUCAAGCUUAAUCAAAAUAUUCAUGCAAAGUAACAAGUAGUAAUUUAAAAGGCACAUGCUUGGUUGCCUAGGCGCAAGGCGCCAAGGCCAGCGCUUUUUGUGCUUCCCUAGGUGUGGUGCUCUCGCCAAGGAGCAGCGCCUAAGGCCUAAGGCACUAAGCGCACUAGGCGCGCUUGGAAGAGGCGAUAACAAGUCAAGUUUGACAAGUGAUAGCAAGUCAGGUAUGAUUAAAACAAGAGAGAAUAUCUAUACUACUUAUAAAAGCGUGAGUUUUAAAUUUUUUUCCUUUUUCCAAAAAUACCUCUAUCUUUUUUACUAAUAUUUUUAUGUCCAGUAAUUUUCAACCAUUCGUUUCAAAUAAUUUUUCAAAUAAUAAUUUAUUCUCAAAUAUAGAUCUUAAGUUUUUACCAUUGGAUCUCAUCCAACGAUUAAAAAUAAAAGUAUCUGUUACUUUCUUGACAAAAAUACGCUCAAUAUCCGUUAUCUUCUAUCUACGCGUUUUACAAAUAUCUACGUGUUUUCUCAAACGUAAUUAUCGCCAUAACUUAAAAUAUCCUCUUAUUUACGUAUUUCUCAAAUAUUUUCUUUCUCACACGUAAUACGUGCACCAAUCACGUAAAAUAUUGUUAGAAAGAUUUAAUACCCAUGUAAGUAAACUAAAUUGUUAAUUAAAUAAAAUUUUAAAUUUUUGAAUUUUUCACCUAUAUUUUUCUUAAUUAUUCUCAAAUAUAUAUUUUAGUAAAUCAUUUCUCAUUUGUCACCUUUGCCGGCACCGGCACAUGGUCAUCGUCCUCCUCAUCGUCAUCGUCAUCACCGGUGCCGGCACAUUGUCGCCUUCGUCACCUUCGCUAUAGGUAUUUUGAUCCUACUGAAAAUUUUUUUAAUAUGCCUUUAUACUAUUAUAGCAUUUUUUUUUGAGUAUUUUCAUAUUUUUACCUGUACGUUUCUCAAAUAUAAAGUAUGUAUAUUUUUAAUAAUAUCUUUUUAAAUAUUUCUUUUGUGACAUAGCUGGCAAUCCUUUCUUAUAUAAUGCGCAUUUUUUCACAUUUUCGUUGUCCUCGCCGGCUCCGGCACAUCGUUUUUGUCACCUUCAUCGGCCCGGCACAACUUCGUUGUCACCUUUGCUAGAAUGACGUAGUCGUCCUCACAUUGCAUAUAUAUCGACGGAAAUCCACUAAUCAUAUCAGCGUUGUUGAUGGUUUACCGACAUGUCAUCGGUGGUCGAGAUACAAGCAUAUGCACGUCAUCGGUGGUCGACAAUUUAUGCGUUGACAAUUCAUAUACACAUCAAUCUAAAUACUCUCCCAAAAUUGCACUUUGAUCAACAAGUUAUUGGUGCUUUUAGAUUUUUAGCCAUUGGAUUAAGAGAUAUGCGGUUAGGAUGAUGUGGGCCCUUUAGGGUUGAGUGGGUGGUUAGUUGAAUAGUAUAAUCUAAUGGUUGAAAAUGAUCCGAGUAGUAGAUCUAACGAUAAAAAACUUACAAACACCAAGUGCUUGGUGCUUUUACAAGCAGCAUAGCUGAACUAUAUAUAUAUAUAUAUAUUUUGAAUUUUUCUCUCUUUUCUAAUACAAAUAUCUUUUUUUAGUAAUUUAAUUUUUAGCUAGAUUUACUUUUUUUAAUUAAAAAUUUCAAAGUUUCUGCCCAAUUGUUUUCCCUUUCAUUAUCUUUAAUUUCUUUCUAAACAAGUUUCAUAAUUAAAUUCAAAUUAUAUUUCCUUUUCUUUAGUUAACAUACUUUAAUAAUAUAAUUUUUCUUUACAUAUAAUAUACUAACACCUUCUAUCAAACUUUAAUAUAUAAAUAAAUGCUGCAUUAAUUUUCUAUCACCUGCACAUACUCAAUUUAUACAAAAGUAUACCACACCUCUAAAAAGCUCACGAAUUUAAAUUAGAAUUCAAUUCAUAUUCUGUGAAAUUAAAAAAAAAAUCACAAAAUUCAUAAAUAUAACCAUACCUCUAUGACAUUAUAUAUUUUGAGCAUCUAUUUAUCAAAUUCAUCAACUCUUUUUAUAUUGUUAAUUUUUAUGUUUAUUUAAUGCCUAGAUAUUAUGAUUUUAAAAAUUUAUAAAUUUUAAUGUAUAAUUUUUUAAAAAUAAAUGUUAAAUAUUGAAUGUGGUGUAUAAAACAUGUAUAUUGGUACAGGCAAAAAUUUUUUCAAAAUAUGAACAGUAUCUCGAUAGGAUUCAAAAUUCUCCCAAAAUUGUAUUAAUAUUUUUACUAUCUUGUUCAAAUCAAUUGGUGUAUAUAUAUAUAUAUAUAUAUAUAUAUAUAAUAUAUAUAUAUAUAUAUAUAAGGGUAUAAAAAAUGUUAAAAUUUUUGCCCAAAUUAAGCCCAAUUAAUUUGAACAGUAAUAAUUGGGGAAUAGUAGUAUUAGUCUAUAUUUCAAUUUCAUUAAUAACUUAAAAUUAAUAUAUAUUUUAGAAAAAAAUUAUUUGAUUUUUUCUCACGUGCAUUGCACGUGCAUAUGACUAGUAUAUAUAUAUAUAGAACUAGGCUACUAUGCUAUUAAUAGCAGAAAGUCAUUGGUGCUAUUAGAUUUUCAACCCUUGGAUGAAGGGAUGUGUGGUUAGAAUGAUAGUGAUCCCCUAAGAUUGAGUGGGUGGUUGGUUGAUAGCAUGAUCUAACGGGUGGAUAUGAUCAAAGGGGUAGCUCUAACGACGAAAAACUUGGUAGGACUAAGCGCUUGGUGCUAUUGAUAACAUACUAGCUAGACUCUAUAUAUAUAUAUAUAACUCUUAAACCUCUCUCUCUCUCUUUGUGACCCGCUUUUCCUCCUCCUCUUCUCCUUCGCUACUUCUAUCAUAAUCGAGCUUCUUCGUUAUCACUGAGGUUAGCUCAUUUUUCCUCUGCCACCCUGUGGUUUAAAAAGUUUCAGUUUGUUCCCUUGUGGUUUAGCGCAAAUUUCAUUUUGUCACCUAUGGUUUUUUAAAAAUUUUCACUUCACCAUCCUUUUUGACAUGGAGUUUUUUGGUGAAAUAAAAAUUAAACAACCGGGAAGCAAAGUGACCACCGGGGGGGGGGGGGGGGGGGGGGGGGCGAAUUUGAAGUUUACCCUAGUAUAAAUGAGUAAAUUUGUAAAUGACUAUAUUUUUUACUUUUUAUUUGCUAAAUAAUCAAUAAAGGCAAACUUCCUCACCUCCAUGAAAUUUGAAUAAAAAAUUCCGAGUUCAAGAAAUAACCGGCUGCAUGUAAAAGGCGAUGGAGUAGGCAUUGCGAUGAUCAUUAAUAAUUUUGGAUAAUUUACUAUAUUUCUCCUCUCUCUCUUUUUAAAACACCUAGCAAUGGCUUUCCUUCCCUCAAUCAAUGGCCUCGUAAACACAUCCCUUCAAUGGCCUUUUCUUACCAUCAACCAGUAGAAGUACGCAAACAAGGUGACCAAAAACCACGAAAAUAAAUGAUGCUAGUCCAAAAUGUAGGCAUCAAUACAAUGCUAGCUACUCUUUUUCAGCUUGUAGCUUAAACUACCUUUUCUGCAUCAGGAGUGAAUUCUCUGCAUCAAGAGUGAAUUCAUUUUUUUCCCCUCUUUUUGAGCGUACAUUCACUACUUCCUACACUAGAUCCACUACUUUUGUUCUCAACUCUUUUUCUAAGAGAGCUCAUUUCUGCGACAUCAUCUUCGAUUUCAUCGUCGCCAAAGUGAUAUGCAUCUUCAAAGUCAGGUAUGAGUUAAUUUUGCUUUUUCUCUAUCACAUUUUUGGCCAUAAAAUAUUUAAUUUCCUUCCUCACACACGGUGGACGUCCUGUCGGAGCUUUUGCAUUUCGGAAACCUCCAAUAAUAUGUUGUUUUACUCUAUAAAUUUUCCCUUGAAGGAAACCUCACAAUUAAUAAAAUGUCCAAAUGAAUCAAAUUCAAAUUGUGGCUGAACGAUAGUUGAACCUUUUGUAGGUUUGUGUGAAGGAAUAAUACAUCUGUAAGAAUUGUACAGACAUUCAGCUGAGAAACAGGCAUAGAACUUGCACUUUGAUCAACAAUUAAUAUGCUAAAUGAAGUUGCACAACUAAGCAACUUCAUAAGAAUUCCCUUUCUUAAUAAUCUUGUUCCUUCCUCUUCCAUGCCUGCAUAUUCCCUAACAAUCAAAGCACAUGUACUACAUGCUAACAAAAUUGUUCUUUUCAUCGGUUCUUCCCAAAUUUAUAAAUAACAUAGCUAAUUCAUACUCAUUUUCAUAAGCCGAAAUGAACAACAAAGUAGCUUGCACAUAAUAACUCAACAAUCAACAAAAACAGAAGCUCUGAUAGAUUAUAUAAUUGUUUUCCCAUCUUAAAACCCUGUGCUAUACAUUUUGAUCUAUGAACAUAGCAAACAAUUAAAAGCAUCAUACAAAGGUGCAUUGAGGAUGAGAUGGUACAUACCAACCAAUCACCGGUCCCGAAACCAACCGACUGAUCGAUACCAAAUUCGGCAAAUUCAGAAACUUCUCAUCAACCCUAAUUUCCCCAACCUCUCCACCCACGCUCCGCUCCUUCCGCCACCCGAUAACGCCCCCAACGACGCCUCUUCCGACCUCUCCGAUAAUGGGGAACCGCCUCCCGUUAAGCAAAUCCUUGGGGAAAAUCGCCUCUCUCCCGCGCAGGUAGAGCGGGGUGGCCGAUUGUGAGAGCUUCCACGGGGGCGAGGAGAGGAAGAGGGGCCCGGAGAAGUGGGGGACGGCGGCUACGGCGGCAGAGGCGGCGGCGGAGGAGGAGGAGGACGAAAGGGGGAAUGGAGGAGAGGAGGAGUGGAAUGAGAGGAGAGAUCGAGGGUUAGGGUUUUGGAAGAGGGACCUUAGGGUUUUAAAAAUCGCCAUUAGAGGAGGAGGAGGAAGAAGAAGAAAUGGCAGCAGGCGGUUUGGGGGGGUUUUAGGGAGGUUCGAAACUGCGCGGGGGCGGCGGUGGCGGUCGCGGCCGCGGAGGACGACGCGUGUUGACGGGUUCGUGUAUUCUGCGCGGAUUCACUGCAAGAAUGCUUGUACCAUGUUUGUACAUACUCGGUGUUUUUGUUUAGGGGCAAUUGGUUAUAUACGCCCAAAAAUUUCCGACUUUCUAUUACUGUUCUUAAAAAGCCAAUAUUAAAAACACUUUUUUUAUAUUCUAAGUUAUUUCAAAUAUACCUCUAGAGUUAAAUUCUAUUAAUGAACUGUUAACAAUAGUCGUUAUUUUAGUAAAAUUAUUAUUUUGCUCUUUCAAAUAUAUUUUUUUAUCAUAAUUAACUUUUCUUAUUUAUUUUUAAGUUAGAGGCAAAAAAAAAAUAUUUUAAUUUUUGAUUUUUUCAAAUAUACCUCUCUACCAUUACUAACUUUUUUUAUUUGCUCUUAAGUUAAGGGCAAAAGAGGUAUUUUGAUUUUUUUUUUACAUGUCAUCAAAACUAUAAUAAUUUUACUAAAUAGCAGGUAAAAAGAUAACAAAAAAAAAGAUAACAAUAACAAUUAAAAAGAGGAGAUAAAAAAAAUUUUAAUAGAAAAAUCACAAUUUGGGACGAAAAAUUUGGCAAUCAAUAGUAAAACAUUUUGUAAGCUUUCCGAUAAUAUGCUUUUUCUAGAAACAUUGAGAAUUAUUUUAACUUAAACUUAGCCAUUGUCAUUUAAUAAAUAAAAAUAUCAUUCUUAUUUAAUAAAUAACUAGUGUAGAUACACGCGCGUUGCAGCGGGCAAUUCUAUAAAGUAAAUCAAUAUAUAUAACAAUUAAUCAAAAUGAUAUCAUAAUUCAUAAUUAGCUUUCAUUCAUUAGAAUACAUGAAAAAAUCGGAAAGUACUUGCAAUACAUAAAAUGAUAGUGGAAAGCCCUACUCUAUGUUUCAUUAAAUGGGUUUAAAGAUAUAUUUAUCAUAGUAAUGAGAGAAUAAUAUGAUCUACAAAUACAAAGAGACUUAAAAUUAACUUCAUAAUUCCUAUACAUUAACUCUCUUUCAUUAGUAAAUCCUAUAACUUUAAUGCCCCUUCUUCAAAUAUUUAUAGGGCUUUCAUCAAUUGCCUUAUAUCGUCAGAAAUCUUUCUCUCAAUGUAUUAUAGCUCUUAAUGCACUGAAAUCCAACAAAAUAAAAAAAAAAAGAACAAAAUUAGAAUAGAUAAGAAAUUUAGGUUUGAAAUAAUUUAAAUUUUAAAUAGAAAAUAUAAAUUAGUUAAGAAUAGAAUAAUCACAAAUGCACUUGUCAUUAUGAUGUUAUGAGAUGAAAUAUAUCUAAUUUACUCAAUAGUAGAUAGAGCAAAAAUCUGCAAUGGAAAAUAACGAAACAGGAACAACGAAGCAGUAAGCAAAAAUAAGUAGAUUUUCAUCAGUAUUUUUGCACUAAAUACACCCUUUUUUCUUCUUGCAAAUCAGUAAUUUGUGAACAAUUAAUAGAAGCAAGAGUUACUUAUCAUUGCUCAUUUCUUUAUACAUACUAAUUAAUUGCAAAUUAUUAUUCGUGUGAACCUUCACCCUUACUUUCGGUGAAUAAGACCCACAUUUAAUGCAAAUAGACUAUUGAACUUCAUAUGUAACAUGAAAGCAUAGUAUUAAGUAUAAUUAAUAUAAGCAAAAACUUUAGGAGAAAUAUUUAUACCAUCUUUUUUUUUUUUAUUGGUAAAAACAUAUAAAACUUAUCUAAACUAUGAACUAUUUUAAGUUGGCGAUGUAAUCUUUGCAAAUUUUGAUUUUACUAUCUAACCAAUCAAUUUAUUUGAUUUGAAUUAAUCGAUGGUAUUUGACUGUAAAAUUUAAAUGUCUCGUUUGUCUUUACAUAUUUAAUUAGUUUGUAUGUUUCAUACCGAUUCUCACAGCUAUGAAUUUAAUUAUAGUAAGUAAUUAGCUUAUAUUUUAGAGUCAAAAUAUCUCCGACUGACUUAAAGCAAAUAGAUUGAAAGGUUAAAUAAUAAAAUUAUAAUUUUGAAAAGUUAGGAAGCCUAUUCAAAAUGGUUCAUAGUUCAGUUAUGUACAGUUAUAUCUUUCUUUUCAAAGAGGUAGCCUUAAUACAGUAGUAGAAAGUAUGAAUUUCUAUAGGUAGAAAUUUGUAUUGCUAUGGUGGCAAGGAAAAAUAAAAAGAAAACAUGGGAUAGAGUUCAAAAUAAAAGGAGAAAAUGACUGUCAACAUCUCCCAAAAUCACAUGAAAAUUUCAAACACCAAAAAUAAAACAUGCAUAAUUGCUUAUCAUAUGACAUUUGUAUAUAUAAAAAAAAAUCAUAUAUUUUGAGGAACUAAGAAGUGUUUAAAUCAUAUAAUCUUCUCAUUACUAAAUUUUGGAACCUACAAACACUACAAAAAAAGCGGACUAUACCGACGCUUUUUAAAUCACAUACCGACGCUCGAAAAAGCGUCGGGCGCUGGGUCGGUAAGCGCAGUGACGGGAGAAAAAUGCCGACGCAUCGCAAAGCGUCGGUAAAUAGGGCCGACGCACAAAAGCGUCGUCAUUUUGGUCGUUAAUUCGAAACUAUCUACACAUGAACAAAAAUCAUUUUACGAUGCUUUAGAGCGUCGGCUACAUUUCUCGACGCUACAAAGCGUCGGCAUGGUAGUUAGGCUUAAGCCUGUCUUCCUUUGUUGUGAUGCUUUAAAGCGCCGGCAAAAUAGGUAACUUGUUUUUUUAUUUUUAGAUAGGGACACUUUUAUGCGUCGGCAACUUAUUAUAAUAUAUAUUUAUUUUUUUGAUAAUUUUCUGUUUAAACAAAAUUCACCGUUCAACUUAUUCAACCAAGAACUAAAAUCUAGUAUGUAUGCACAUUUCUAAUUAAAGAACUAAUGACAAUAACAAUAUAUAACUUAUAUAAGAAAGUAAUAAAUAUUUAAACUUCAUGUCAAUGUAUUACAUUACUAAGUCAAAACAAUAACAAGCUAUUGGCAUAUAAACUUAAUUCUAGAAUUAUAGUACUUAUAAGAUUUACAAAAAUAAAGCUAAAAAAAAGUCACAAUUCACCCUCGUCUCUGAGCCGAAGUUCACGUAUUGGCCUACAAGUAUCUCAUUCAUUUCCGAUUCGUAUUUCUUUCGCAUUUCUUGCAUUUGAACUUGCAGCUUUUGAACUUCUUCUUUUAUUGGAUCAUGUCUUUCAUUCUCUACAUUUCUUAACUGAGCCUGAAUUUCCAAAAACUUGUGUUGGUGAGGAACCAAUGCCACAACCCUUCACUCGAUCAUACCAGUUUUCUCCCUUUUUUUAACUUGAAAAUAUUAUAUCUUCAAUUUGUUUGGUGGUAUUUGAGAACUCCGGCAUAGUCGAUUGUUUAGCUAGAUCUCCCAAUAAGUCUUCUACAUUAAAGCAAAAAAAAUUGAACAUAUAUAUCAAUUGCAUGCCACAUAACUUUAUUGAUGCAAAAAAUAAAAAUAAUAUAAAAUAAAGUGCAUAUUGAAUACUGUAAAAUUAAUUGAGGCUUGAUAAAUAUAUUCUCGAUCUUUAGUUUUGCAAGUCCUCCUACAUUAUCGAAUUCAUUUGAAGAAAUCUGCAAAAGGAAAAUAUGCUAAUAGCAGGCUAUGUAUUAUGCAUAAACUAUAAUUCUGAAGAAGCUGCAGCAAAAAGAGAAAUAUCAAACAACUGACUAAAGAAACCAUUAAUAGAAUUCAACUUAUCAAAGAAACCAUUAGAAAUUUCAAAAUUGACAUUAAUAGUCAAAAUAAAAAACUAGAAUUCAAAUGCAUCAACUCACAAAUUAUAUACCCAAAUAUACUAUAGUUUCAAAACAUUAGCAAAUGGAAUAUCAGAGUUCAUUUGUUCUAGCAGAGUAAUAAUGAGCUUAAAGUUUCAUCAAGAACAAGAUAUCUAUUAGGAAUAAUUNAUGCAUCAACUCACAAAUUAUAUACCCAAAUAUACUAUAGUUUCAAAACAGAAAAAGAAAUAAAUUAUUACAACUUGUAGCACAUUUGUAUCGGAAGAAACAUUUCAUCAGACAUAUGAUAAAAUCACAACUUAUAGGUAAAUUAUGCACUGGAGGAAGGAUUCUUUAUUAAUUACUAAUCAAAUUUUGCUUUGUAGAAGAACUUAAGGUAACCAUUAGUGCACUCUUUAACUGUAAUUUGAACCAAUGAAGUGCUUAAGACAUUAGCAAAUGGAAUAUCAGAGUUCAUUUGUUCUAGCAGAGUAAUAAUGAGCUUAAAGUUUCAUCAAGAACAAGAUAUCUAUUAGGAAUAAUUUAAAAUACAAACAUUUCAUACAAACAAAAAAGAUGCAAGUAAAGACAAAUAGAAACAUCCAAAGGACAUUGUAUUACAUAAAUAUCAAUCCUAACUCAAAAAAUAUGUCAAUCAAUCAAAUAUAAAGGUUAAUUAAAACAAAAAAACCCUAAGCCCUCGUGUUUGUCAUGUGCUAACCAAAAAUUACCAUGCCAAAACAUAGCAUAUCGUUUCUCUUCCUAAAAUCUUUCUGUAGCCAUGCUUUUGUAUGGAUUUCUUUUUCUGAUUUAUUUCAGCAAGAAUCGAUCAAGAAAGUUCAUUAAUGUGUUUUUAUGUCACCCUAUGAUCUCCUUUGAUUGAGUAGUUCAUAAUUAGUAGGUUCGAAAGAUUUGCCUAUUAAUUGUCACUAAUUUUGUCAAAUUUUCUUUUACACACUCUGGUGUCGUAAAAUUGAGGGUUUGAGCUAGUGAAAUAAAACAUUACUAGGGAAGAGAACAACUCAGAGCUGUUUGUUGGUGCCAAAGAACUGAAAAUUAAAUCAAAGGAAUAGUUGAGGGAUUAUCCUGCAAACAAUUAGAUAAUAUCGAUAUAUUUCAGGAGAAAAAAAUCUAAUUUCUACAUCCCACAAUGGGAAAGAGUGAAGAAAAAAGAAACAAUGCUCUCUCCUUCAAUCCUCUUGCUGCUGGUUCCAACCACAAUGACACAAAUCACCCCAAAAUUUCCCAAAACACAAUUCACCUCCUCUAAAUUUAAACUCAAAUUAAAAUUAAAAUUUAAAUCCCACAGGGAAAAACCCUAACCCACACCCAAUUUCAAGAAAUGGGUCGAAAAAUUCAAAAAAUGGCUCUCAACCUUGGGAUUUCUAAAUCUAUCUGGUAGCAUAACUGUAAUAGUCGAUAAAAAGAGAAAAUCGAACCAGAAAAUGGGAUAGAUUCUUCUCGAUGCGUCGGUGUCGAAAUACUUAUCUCCCCCUCGCCUUCUCGUCCUUCGCUACCACCACCAUCGUCAAAGACCGGCGAGAUGUCGCCUCGAAAUUAGAGGGGAAGGUGGAGCAGCUUACCUUGUCGGUCGACAAGGUGGAGCCGGAGGGUUGCGCACUGACCUGGAAGGAGGCGAUGGCGACGACGAGGUCGAGGAGGGGCGGAUUUAGGAGAGGUAGCCAAACCCUAGCCUUAUUUGCUAAGGAAAGGGUUGGAGCGGGAGUGGAACGAGGGAAAAUGAAAAGGCCAAAAAAAAGGCCUUACCAAAGUAAUUUUUCGCGCUUUACUUUGGCGACGCUCAUCCCUAGCGUCGAUAAAAUUUCGACAGGGUAAAAAUUUGUGGACGCUUUCUAAGUGCGUCGGCGUAAAAGCGUCGGCAUAGAUCCUUUUUCUUGUAGUGAAAAUGUUCUGCAUUUUUGUUCUUUCAUCUCCUAGAUUUGGCAACUCACAUUGUUGUUAUACAGUGAUCUAUCAUACAACAACCUAUCUGGUAAAAUUCCUGGAGAAUUGGGGCAGCUGCAGGAUAUAAGAUUGGAACUUUGUAAGUCCCACUUUCUAUAUAUUUCUUAUUUUGUCGUAAAAGAGACUUUCUUCUGUGAAUUAUUUUAACAAACUUCUCAUGAAUAUAUAGGAUCCUGAAUAACAACUUGUAUGGAGAUAUACCUGCUUAGUUAACCAACUGCUUUAGCUUAACUUCAUUGUAAACUUUUUACUAUUUCAACAUCAUUUUAAAAAAAAUAUUUACAUCAAUUUUAAAAUUACAUUAUUGGCCAUCUGGUUUUAAUUUCAGAAACCUCUGUUACAACAACUUUUCUGGACAUGUCCCAUUGUCAAAGAACUUUUCAAAGUUUUCAGCAGAAAGGUAUUAAAGACACUAAAUUUUAUUUCUUUCCUUAUUUUUAUCAAAAUUGAUCUUAUUAUUAUUAUUAUUAUUAUUAUUUGAUGUAUGUUUUCAACUUCGUAGGCAAUCCAAUACUCCAUGGUUGUUUUUCGCUAGUUGAGCAAAAUUAGCAAUCAAAUUAUCGUUUAUAAUUUCUAGUUAAAACUCGGUCCAUCCUGCUAAUUAAUUGAUGCUUAAUCACUUAUGUACUCUCUUUUUUUUCUAUACUUAUUGCAGUCACCAUUUCUCGAACUAUAAUUGUUUGCAUAUUUUAAACUGCAUCACUUUACUCUCAAUGACUAUAGCGGCAAUAUACAAAUCCAAUCAACCAACUCCCUCAUAUCACCCAAUUUACAACAAAAAAAGUAAAAUUCACCAAGAAAAAACUAAAGUAUAAUCACUACCAACAGAGGAUUGGAAUCCCAAUCGUGAAACCUCAGUACAAAUCAAAUACAAAUCAUAAUAGAAAAUCUAAUACCGAAGACCAGAGUUUGAAAACCUCAAUUGACUGAAACAUUAUAACAUAGAUCUAAAUAAACAAAGAUCUAGAGAGAGAAAGGAAUGGGUAAGGAUGAAUUACCUUAGAGUUUGGAGAAGAACUUGAUAGCUGAGGGCUUUGGAGAGUCGCAACAUUCAUUGAAGCCUCAAAAGCAAAUUAAAAUAAAAUACAACUAAAAUUUAAAAUAUUAUUGACUUAAAAAUUCUAGAUAGAUUGCUACAUUGUCAGGUUAGACCAAACUAAAAUAUCAGUUACUUCUGGAUACUUAGAGAAAAAUUGUAAGUACUCCAAAAAUGCAUAGAUACAAAAUAGACAAAGAAAAGUUAUAUCUGAAUUGAAGAAAUUUCCUACGGUAUAUCUGAAGUCGUGACCUAAUAAUGUAUUUUACUUAAGAGAGAUGACUUACAUGUUUUGGUAUGUUCAGAAGUAACUAUCACUUUUGAAACUAUCGAAGGUGCUGUACAAUCUAAAAACAAUCAUUCACCUACACUUCAAAUAUCAUUACAAAAGACAAUAAGCAUGAAACUUUAUAAAAUUGAUCAAGCAAGUGGCCCUUCACCGUGAUCAGGUCCUUCGCUGCAUCCACCAUCACCUCCUUCACCCCUGCGCCUGUGAGACCCCAGAUAGUCCUAUAUAUGAGAUAUAAUAGGGCUAAACUCUUAACCCGGCUUAAGCAUUUUGGGUGGUGGCAAGGCCCAAGAGAUUAAGAGAGUUAAGCGUGCUAGGACGGGAGUAGUCCUAGGAUGGGUGACCCCCUGGAAAGUUGGGGCGUCACAGCGCCGCACAACCGCUAAUUAUUAUUAAUAUUUAACUUCACAUUAAAAAAAAGAAAAGAAAAGAAGAAACCCUAAUUCGGUCGUUACACCCCUCGCAGUGGAGCCGGAUCUUGAGCAUCACCGUCGACUCCGGAGGCUAUAAAUUUUUUUUAAAAAAAAUUAAGGAAUUAAUACCGAUGAAUUAAUUAAUUAAUUAAAAACGACCAGUAGGUUAAUUAAUUGAUUCAAUUAAUUAAUUAAUUGGUAAAAUAAAUAAAUAAAUAAAAAUAAAUAAAAAGAAAUUUGGGCACCUCUUUGGGCUUUUUGUCAUCGCCCUUGCCGGCGGCGGUGGCGUCUUUCGUGGGCUGCUUGGGGGAGUCGGUGCCGGACUUCUUGUCGCUGCCGACUUUGUUGUCCUUAUCCUUCUUGGGUGGAUUCGCUGGGGAGACGAACUCCACCUUCCUCUUCGUUUUGGUCUCGAUCCUCUCCUUCACCUCCCACGGAUCCGCGGGCCCCGUCACCGUCACCCUGUUGCUCCCCGCGUCCGCGGAUACCGUCAUUCUGCAAGUGGCCAAUUAUUGUAAGAAACUCUGCAACGGUUCAAAACCCAAUUAUUGCCACGUGGAAAAAAACGGUUCGGGUGAAAAAGAAAACGGUUCGGUUUAAAAGAGGACCAAAGUGAGGGUGAAGGAAAUUUUGCCAUGUGGCAAAAUUAUUGGGGAUUCAUAUUAGUUUAUAGAUAGAUUAUAGAUUUAUAGAUAAAAUAGGCCCACAUUCCUUCAUUGAGUCAUGUUUCUUAAGAUGGGAAUUAAAAUACCAUUUUCAUCUAAUAAAUUUAAUAAAUAAAAUAGAAUAGUGGGCCCCAUGUUCGGAAAGCUGGAAAAGGUUCCCAAUUAGUAAGUUUAGGAUUAAAAAAUUAUUCUUAUCUAAUAAAUUUAAGGAAAAAUUUUAAAUACCAUCAUUCAGUUUCACAUUUUCUCAAUCUAGUACUAUGUGGUUUAAAGUGUAUCAAUUUAGUGCCCUGUAAUUUCAUUUUUAUUUUUUUAUUAUCGAUUCCACUAAUUCUUCUUUGUUAAAUUAGUGAUAAAAUUAAAACUAAAGAGUACUAAAGUGAAUACCUAGAUGGGGUAUCUGAAGUUUUUUGUAUAUAAUUUAACGAAAUAUUAACGGAGAAGCUGACGAAAAGAUAAAAUGAAACCACAUGAGGCUUAGUUUGGUAUUGAGGUCUAUCUAACGCUAUUGAGUUGAGAAAAAACAUAUAGGGAUAUGCUUCCGCGUUCUCCGAUGGGACUAUAGAAAAUAUAUUGUAUCCGACUAACCGCAAUAUACUGAAUGCAAUAUUACGUUUGAAAACAAACACGGUAUUUUUUCAUUGUUGUUUCUCACCAUACGUAACACAAUCUCCCGCAAUCCCAAACGAACCCUAACUUGAUAUAUUUUAAACCACAGAAUAUCAAAAUCAGAAAGUAAAGAACCACAUGAAUGGUUUUUAAAGUUUACCCUAAAUUUAAUAAAUUAAAUAGAAUAGUGAACCCCAUAUUUUCUGAGACGAGGGAAAAGCUAAAAAAGAUUCGCAAUUAGUAAAUUUAUGAAUAGAGAGAAAGAGAACGGAGGGUUUAAGGGCGACAGGUGUCCCUCUAGGGUUUCCCCCAACCUUUUUUUAAAUGUAAAAAAAAAAAAAAGAAAGAAAGAAUAGAGAAUGUCUGAUAUCGUAAAGAUAACCAUGCAGUAAGAGUUGAGCUGGAAUGCUAUCGGUAGCAAAUCGGCUCCGUUGCCACCCAUUUGUUUUCAAUGAUGUAGCCUUUAAAUUGACGAUCGGCACCGUUGAACAUAAUUUAUACCACUUAAAAUAUUUAGAAACUAAAUUUCAAAUCAUUUCGACAUCAUUAACCUAAUGAUCAAAGGGUUUCAAAAUUUGUAAUUUUAAUGAUAGAUAUGAGGCGUUUUCUCGUUUAACGGUGUAAAGCCAUCCAAAUCAAUUGAAUUUUGGUUAGAAAAUUUUUUAAACUAUUUAGAAUAAGAUCUAUACUCUCGAUCUUGAUUACAAAAUUCCUAUCAUCACUUUUUAGAGGAUAUUCAUUUUUAGCCGUUCAUUUUUAUGCCCACUUGAUGGACAAGAAAAUAAUAUCGGAAAAGCAUGAAAUUUGAUUUCUAGAUACUUCAAGUAGUAUAGAUCAUAUUCAACGGUGCCGAUCGUCGAUUUGGAGGUUCCAUCAUCGAAAAUAAAUGGGUGGCAAUGGAGCACGUUUGCUACUGAUAGUAUUCUAGCUUAACUCCAUGCAGUAAUAUAUAAAAAAUUCUUAAGUAGGGUGAUUAACGGCUAAUUAAACUCUGCGCUUCUUUCCCCGUGCUAUAUCUUCGUCUCACUCGCUCCUUUCCCAAAUUUCCCACUUUCCGUUACUGGAGGGAGCAAAAAAUAACAAAAAUGGCGAACGCAUGGCGAAGAGACAAACCCUCCUCCCUCUCUUCCCACAAAACCCUAAUUUCCCUCUCCUCCAUCUUCCUCAUCCUCUUCUUCAUCUUCCUCUUCUACCCUUCCACCUCAAACCCUAGCCGCAUCGCACCCUACAAAACCCUAGCCCACGCCCGUGGGAUCCGGCCCUACGAUUGCCUCGCCUCGCCGCAGGCGUCGCCCGUGUUCGCGAGCCUCGUGGAGGGCGUGCGAUACCCUUUCUUCUUCUCCCUCUCCGAUUUCGGCGCCUUGCCGGAGAAGCCGCACAAGAACAUCGUGCGGAUGCUGAAGGGGAAGCCCUUCCGGCGCCCGGACAUAUCGGCGACGAUCCAGGAGCUGUUGGAAGGGAAGGAGAGGGGCCGUGGUGCGGUGGUGGUGGACGUGGGCGCGAAUGUGGGGAUGGCGUCUUUCGCGGCUGCCGCUAUGGGGUUCCGGGUGGUGGCGUUCGAGCCUGUGCUCGAGAACCUGCAGCGGAUCUGCGACGGGGUCUUCCUGAACCGAGCCGGGGAUCGGGUCACCGUGUAUGCAGCAGCCGCCUCGGAUCGGAUUGGGAACAUCACCUUCCAUAAGGUAGGGUCUCUUUCCGAGAAUUAGCGCAUGUUUAGUGCCUGUUUCUGAGAAAAAAAUGGUUUCUUUCUUGAACUACAUGAGUUCAAAUUUGAUACAUUGUGAGUGUAUGUCUAGGCGUCACGGACACCGACACGGGACAGGGGAACAAGACACGACUCGGACACGGCGGCUCGAAAAUUUUUAAAAAAUUAGAACACGGACACGGCAUGAAUACCGCUAAUAAAAUAUAAUAUUAUUAAUAUAAUAAUAUAUUUUAUUAUAAAUAAAAUAUUAAUUUUGGUAAGAUAUUGUUAUAUUUCUUAUACGAAGGAAAGUUAGUAAAAUUUUUAUUGAUAAUUCAUAUAUUCUAAGAAAAAAACAUUUGCACCAUACAUAAUUUAUUUAUAUUGUCAAAAAAUUUGUAUGCAUUCAUCAAAAAGCUAAAAUAUUUAUCAUCUUACAUUUAUAAUGCAUAAAAAAAGUAAAAUAAACAUAUGUAUAUCCUUUUUUUAAUUGUUUGCGCUAUGGAUCGGUAUUAAACGUGCGUCCAACGAAUGCCACAUCAGACACGUGUCCGACACGGACACGCGAGGCUGAUAGAAGUGUCCGUGAUACACAGGUGUAUGCCAACUCUUUGUAACCAUUGACUUUUCAUUGAUGUUAGAUUCCCAUUCUAGAAAUUAGAAUUGUGGUGAGUAAAUGAUGAUUUUUAGUAAUUUAUUAGGUUUCUAUUCAAUGUAUCAUUCAUUAACUAAAUUUAUCAGACACGUUAUUCAAGAUGGUAACAAAGUUUAUUGUGAAAACUUAAGAACUUAUGAAAAUUAUUUUUGUUUGAGCAACAAUGCAGUAUUGUAGCAGUAUCAGUUGCUACUUAAUAGGCUUUGGAGUUAAGACAGUUAUGACCGGUGCACUAAAUAUAUUGUCACUAAUUUGAAUAAUGAUGAUUUACAUUGCCAGUCAAACUUAAUAUUACCUGCAAUGCCACGUACUCUUUCAUAUUAUGUGCAGAAGUAUACUGAAACACUUAUUUUUUUAAUGCCAACUCAUGCUAUGACUUUUUUUUGGGCGGCAACAUAGAGAAUAAUUGGGGCUUGUUUGGAUCUUCGAACUUUGAACUAGUUAUCCAAUUUAAACUUAUGCCUAUGGGGAUUCCCUUCUCUCAUUGCAACAUAUGAGCUUGGUUGUAGGCCGUGUAAGGUCUUGACGGUCAUGAUUUUCCAGUAUGAGGCUAAGAGGUCGAAUAUGUUAUGACGUUGUAGGCAUUUAAUAGUACUCAUCCACCAAUAACUGCAUUAUCCCUAAGAAAAAAAAAAAGAGAUGUGCCGAAUAAGAUGUUCAUGUAUCCAUACAGGCCCUUAAAGAUUUUUGCAGUGUUUGAGGUGCAGUUAUCGAGGUUAAUUAUAGAAAGUAGUUAAAAUAAUAAUGUUCUAUAAUUCUCUAUUUAAUGUCAUCUGACAGUCUUAAGGUUAUCUAUGUCACUGUCCCUGGAGUCUUCUAUAUGUUGCCAUUAAUUACUGUAGAUUUCAAGUAAAGUCGAAGUCAAUUCUAGUCCAAGAAAGAACAGGCAGGUCAGCAGGUGAUAAUUGGUUGAUUUUAUUUUAUUAUUUAAAAUUAAAUAGAUUGAACCAGUUGUGGAUUUAGAUUAUUCUUAGGUUUAUAAUGAGGUCAUUAUUGGGCAUAAGAAGCCAAUCUUGAAUUUUGGAUAUUUUGUGGAUUAUGUUUGUCUAUAUCAGUUAGAUGUUAUUUAGGGCUCCAAUCUGGUUAUGUGAAUGGAGAAUCUUUGGGAAAGCUUGAAUCUUUUCUACUUUCCUAAUUAGGAGCCCUCAAGAGUCAAGAUAAGUUUAGGCUGAAGUAUGGUAUAACGUUUUCCUAUUAUUGCUAAUAAAUUGUAUGGGAAAGGUUUGGAAUGAUCACAGACUUUCAUGUAGGCCAUAGAAAAGGAGGUUUUCAGAAUACAGUAAUUGUAUGAUGGAAAAUUGUGGAUUAAAGUUUCUUAUUUAGGCCUUUAGGGGUGUUCACUCCUUUUCCUAAUUGUCUUUACUUGGCCAAAGUGGCAUGAACCCAUCAAAGAAGAAGCUGCAAAAUAACUAGUCAAAGAGACAACAAGUAUUGAAGAACAUGAAGAUGUCUGACAAAGAGAGCAAUAACAUUCUUUAUGAAUUGUUCUGUACAAACUACAUAUACUUGAGAACAAGGAAAUGAUGUUGGUUUGAAUCUUCCAACCAAGAGUCAAGUGCUACAGAAAAAUCUGUGUACUACCCUCUGUAUGGGAGUAGAACCAAGAAAAUAGUUUCUUCUUAAUUUCUAGAUAAUACUAAUCCAGAGAUGGAGUGGAUGAAGCAUCCCUAUUGAUCGGUAUGGCUUGAUGAUCAUGAACAGGUUCUUGUGAAGCAUUGAUGUGGCCCCUACAACAGUGGCUCGCUAUUUGGUCUGACAUUAUAGGAAGGUCAAGCAUGGUACUUUCCAGAGUUUUUAUCUCUAAGGAUACAAGGAGAUCAUCCUUCAUCUUCUGCUAACUGAAGCGCCAAGUAAAGGAGCCAGCCUUGCAUGGAAAGCGACUUGGCAGGGAGAUGAGAUUUUGAUACCACAUCCAUAUUGGAAAGCAGCAAUGCUAGACAACUAACUUCAAUGGUGAAUUGAGGUGCAAGGGAAGCAAACUUCAGCAAUCAACAAUUUCGGAUUUUCACUUGGAUCUAAAUUAAAUCGCCAGUCCUAUUGAGAGCACUUGGAUGAUAUUGGGAUGGAUCAAGUGAUUUCCAGAUUCAGUUGAUUGUAUCAAUUGUAGCUUUAGAGUCUCUAGAUAUAUUUGGAUUUAAUCAGGCAUAAUGAGUCAAUUUUCAAUUUAAGGGGAUUUUCAGCUCUUUUAUUUUUCAGUUUGUUAGUAUUAUUCGAAGUGUUCUGUUUGGGCUCGAGCUCUAUAUGGAUUAAUUGGCAAUCUUGAGGAUAUUUUGAAUCUUAAUGGGCCUCGGUUCCUUAACAGAAUUUUAAAGAAGGUUAAAAUAAGUUGAGAAUCAACAAAUGGUAUCAAAAGAGUUGUAGUAUUGUAGUAGAUAGCCUCAUUUCGUUAAAUGCUAGUUAUCCAUUAUUUUCAUUGUGAGAUCUUUCUCUACAUUGUCAGGAUGGUUUGGAAAUUUUCAAUUGUCAUUAUGUAUCUUAUUUUAAAGGAUAUCUAGGAGAUCCUCAUUAGAAGUUCUUCGAUGGGGCAGUUUAGGUGAAAAGAAUAGUAUACAAAAGACCAUGUUUUAAAGGACUUUUCCAAAGGCUUAAUUACAUCUUACUACACCGUACUUUACCUUUAUUUUCAUUUGCUAUACUCUUUGACGUUUUUGUUCAGAGGCACUAUUGAAUUAUCAUUUUCUUGUUAAUUGCUACGUGACUAUCAACAAAUCUAUCGUUUUAGACAGAAUAUUGCAACUCUAUUAAGAGGUACUGGUUAGAAGAUGGGUGUUUUUUGAGGGGGGGGGGGGAGGUGAAAUGAAGUGGGCCUCCGGAAAAGAUUAAUUGAAAGUUUCUAUCAAGUUGUUCUAGGUGCUUAAGUGCUUUCUUAAUUUUGCCUGUCAAAAAUGGACCGAAUAUAUGCCACUAGCGCAUGCUAAUAGAACUGCUAGCUUUUGUCUAAAACAGUAGGUUUUAUUGAUGGUUGUGUAGAGACUGACAAAAAUCAAUAGUGUAGUGGUGUCUUUGAAAAAAGAAGAAGAAGAAAAGAUAGUGCAAUUUUGCAAAUGAAUAAAAUCAUAAAGUACAGUGUAGUCAAAUGUAAUUAAGCCUUUUUCAUUUGCCACUGAUGUUAAACUUCUUACUAGACAGCUAUUAUUUUAUAAUCAGACUGGCCAUUAACCUAGGAGAGAAAGCUCAAAGCAUCUUAUCUUUGACUAGUUCAUAAGUAAUCAGCAUACAGUAAUUUUUUGUUCAGAAUUCCACAAGACAGAUAUUUUUUGAUUAUAUAGAAAGACAAACCUUUUAUCUAGAGUCUUUUCAAUUAUUCAACUAUAUCUGCAAUUGAAACAACUACACGAAAAAAAUUUAGUAGUUUCUUUUUUUGGUGAAAUUGCACUGAAUAUUAUAUACUGCUGCUUAAAUAAGAAGGUUGUAUUUUCUAACUUCUUUAACUGACUAUUGAUAAUUCUAAUGGGCGGCAAAGUGCACUAAUAAAUUUGAACAUAAGUUAUUUUUGCAAAUUUAUAUGCUACUAUGUUUAAAUUCUGAGCACUUGUGUUCAUGGAAGUACUCUCAGUUCUUUCCCUGAACGCCUUUCUUUCUUAUGAUACUUUCACUGAUCUAGUGCUGAAUCUAGGUUCCUUGUGAUCGUUUCAGCAAAAGACCACAUUAUAUGAUCGUGAGUUUUCUGCUAGGUUGAAGUAUUGAAAUAGGAGAAGUAUGCAAAUCUCAAAAAUCUACAUCCGGCACUUUCACCCCUCUUUUCCUGAUUAUCAUGGAGCUGUUACCUAGUUAAAAUUUAAAUUGUCUAUAAUCUGCUGAAAACACCAAUUGUAGAUUCUGUACUUGCCAACUCGUUGUAAGAGCCGAUAAAUAUACAAUACACUGUCAAAAUAUAGUUUCCAAAAUAAAAUUUUUCGUAUCUAUAGCAGAUAAAUAAUCACAUUACAUCUUGUCAUUAGUUUAGGAAAUACAUAUUAGGACGUAAUUGGUGUUGAGGCACAUCUAACGCUAUUUGAUAUAAUGGAGUAGGGGCAAAAAAGUAUAUAGGGAUAUACUUUUGCGUUCUUCGUUGGGACCAUAUACAAGAUAUCCUUCUGCGUUCUUUGGUGGGACCGUAGAAAAUAUAUCAUAACUGACUCAUUGCGAUAUGCGGAAUGCAAUAUUACAUACCGAAACAAACGGGAUUUUUUUCCAUCGUACUUUCUCACCGCACGUAACACAAGCUCCCUACAAUUCCAAACGGAGCCUUAGUUGGCUGUGGUAUUCAUUAUCCAUCGAUACAUGAGCUCAUAAAUUAUUUUGUUCUUUCUGAGGUUAUGGUUUUCAUCACUUUGUUUGAGAACAAGCUCAUUACAUAAACCACCAACAUGAUUCAAGUUCCUACCUUUUUAUCCGAGUAUUUACUUCCAUGAACCCCAUUAUCAACUUGUUUUUAAAAGUUGAGUAAAUAUUAAGAAAAUUUCAAGAUCCAAUGAAUGAACACUAGUGUAUUUGAAACCAAGAGGUGCAUUCAUCUUUCAAUCAUUAAUUGUUGAUGUCGAAUAGCUCAUGGGUUCUAUGUUGUCCGCCUCUGUUUUAUGGGUGGUGUCAUUUUCCUUGAAACUUAUAUGAAACUAGGUUUCGUAUAAUUGUGUGUUCUAUAGACAAAUUUAUGUAUGAAAGUCUCUUCAAUAUUAAUAAAUGUGUUUUUUAUUCAUAUCUCUGCUUCAAAAUUUCAGGGAUGUAUUUUGUUCCUUUGAUAACUCGUACAUGCAUCUUUCACUUGAAGUUUGUAAGACUUAUAAUAGCAUAUCAGAUUCACAUAUUGGCUCGUUUGGCACCAAGGAUUGAAUUGGAUAAGAUAAGAUAAGAGAGCAAUAUUUGGGGGGAGGAGGGAGAGUUUAGCAACUUGGUGGUAUCAAGGGUCACUAGAGGAAUCUGGUUGGAUCGAACAAUCCCGCUGCAAUUAGAUUAUUGAAUCCGACAAAAGAGAUUGGGAUGGUGUGUGAUUGAAUUCGAAAAAUCUCAUUGGAUCCUCCUGCCAACCCUGUAUUAGUCAUGACAUCUGAUGCCUCCGCGUUGCUAAGCCCUUUUGCUCCCCCAUGUUUGUUCCCUUGUCUGAUCCUUCUAAUCCAGUACCAAGUACCAAACGGUGACAUUAUGGAUAAUUUGGCAUAUUUUGUAUUUCACGUGAUAGUGCUCAUGGACCGAGAUCUAAGAGCAGGUUUAUAAUUUGAAAUUUGAACCAGCACAUUAUAAAACCAAUAAAUUUCCUUUUGAUCUCUCGCAUAUUACUUUUUUGGCUCUCCUUUAGUGGAGUAUUUCUUAAAACUUAUCUUGCUUUGAUGAAUCAGUUAGUCGGCCGUCUCGACAACAGUGCCAUCUCUGCGACCGGUGCGAAGCUUGCAUUCAAGUCCAAUGAAGAGAUCGCGAUUGAGGUCCCAACAAUCCCUUUGGAUGAAGUAAUUCCUGAUUCAGAACGGGUUUUACUGAUCAAAAUCGAUGUUCAAGGUUGGGAAUACCAUGUACUACGAGGGGCCUCGCGGCUUCUAUCCAGGAGAAAAGCUGAAGCCCCCUAUCUAAUAUAUGAGGAGGACGAGCGGCUUCUGCAGGCAAGCAACAGUAGCUCACAAGAAAUAAGGACUUUCCUUCGAAGUGUUGGGUACAGCCAUUGUUCAAAGCACGGUAACGAUGCGCACUGCACAAAGGAUUAGUCUUCAAACAGCUUUUGGCGGGAAUUUAACAUCCUCUUUAUUCUUUUCGGAAUUUUUGCAGAAAAAGUCCUUUUUCUCUAUUCUGCAACAGUUUACCUUCUUCUUCAUUAUUAUUAUUAUAUUAUUAUUAUUAUUAUUAUUUACUGCUUUGGGCCAAAAUCUAUUUUUAAUGGUCCGAAAUGCCCCUGGCCAGUGUCUGCUAGAGUUCCAUCUGGUGGUGUUCUGGUCAAUGCACGGAUAGUUUAAUGCAAGAUUGCAGAGGCAAAAAAAGUGAAUCAACAUUGCAAAAUGGAAGGAAAGGAGGAUUUUUUGUGCAAAAUGAGUAUUCUUUUCCAAUUCCACAUGAAAGGGAAAUGCUGAUAGGGCAUCACAGGCGAAUUUGCUGUGGAAAUGUGUAGAAGUUUACUUUUCUUUUUGAAACUUCUGAAUGUGGCUGAAGUGAGGGUUUCUUUUUUUCCUGUCUUUCUUGUGGAGAAAUUGCCCCUGGGCAAGAGGUAAAAUGAGUGCUAAUUUUUAUGGAAUGUAAUGUUAACUGCGGUGAGGUCAAUAUCUGAUUUCUAGAUGCUAACCCUGUUAGUCUUUUACUAAUUUAUGCAAAUUGAUCAUGAAGUAGUUGAAAAAUUGUAUCAACAUAUUCUUUGUUUAUUGGGAUCACCUACCUGUAUUGAUCUUAUGACGAUGUGUUAUUAAUGAUGUACUGGUACUGCAUUUCGUGGUUUACUUGCCAAAACUAUGCAUGCUGAAUGUUUCUGGCGAAAGAAGCAAUUGACAGCAGCAGAACAGCGUCAGAAUUGUUAUUUCUGUGGUCUUGACUUCUUUAUUUUUUUCAGUUGUCUGAAAUGCUGUCGCCUCAUCUCCCCCUCAAAAAGCCGCAACUGAGUGCGACGUAUUCAAUCUCUCAUUGUAUAUUUGGAGCUUAAUUCCUUGGACUCUUUUAUCCUGUCGACUCCCCUCGUUGCGAAGUUCAGUCUUCUAUACGUUGUAUGAGAGAGUUUGUCGGUUCUACAAACUGAACACCGAAGUCUAUUUGAAUUUGAAUUUGAAUUUGAAUUUGUACUUCUGGGUGAUUGAAAAAGAUGAUCUUCUUACCCGUUUUUUCUUGUGUUAUGUUUGGCGAAAAUAACAGAACAAGAACUAUUUGGGGAUUUUGUGAUGUAAUAACAAUAGGGUGUGUUAUUUGAUUCGCACCGUGUUCGGCUUUGAUUACUUUUCAGGAGGGUAGUUGGAUUGCCCGACACAGAUCUAGGACCUAACUAUUGCCAGUAUUUAUUUGAUGUCUCAAUUAGGAUGACGAGUUUAUAAUUUACAACCACUUAAUUUGUCAAAUUGCAUGUUCUAUACUUCGUGAUGGGACUUCCGGUGUUGAAAUAUACAUUGAUCAUCAGAGUAUUACUACAUGGAGCCCUUACAAACAAAGGUGCAUGAUAUUUGAUAUCUCCUGAUUACACUAUCGCAUGUCUCCUUUUUUUCAAAACACUUGAUCCUUAAGCAAAGACCUAUGAAAUACUCCUUGGUAGUGUAAAUGUAUUUUUUUCGAUACUGUAAUUUAGAUGGUCUUUGAUUGAGUCUAUAUUUUAGUUAUGAAAUUCCUACAUCUUUGUAGAAAAUUCAUUCUGCAGUAUGCAGUUUUAUGUUUCGACAUACAAGACAUACAAGACAUAUACGUGUAGUACAACCAGAAUGUUUUAGAAGCACCGAACCUUGGCGCUUUUGCUCUUUUGUGUCAGAUAAGUACCUUUACUUUUAUCAAUAACUUAACGGCAGCUCAAAAUUUUACUUUAAUUUAUUCCAGUCGAAUUUGAUGAAGUAUUGUCUUUUCAUUUCUUUUCUCUGUAGGGUAAGUUCACCUGAAAGCUCAGUAGAUUUAUGCCAUCUGUUUGGGACAAUUUUGGCUAUGAUGAUGAAUGCCAACUUGUCGGCGUGCUCGAGCAACCAGGAUGAGAUGUGGUUGCCUUCUAUUGUCACAGCUGCUUGAUGCUGUCGGAUGAGAUGGAAUGAACGGCUAAGGUAAGAAAUUGUUCCAUAACAUUACCUGUAAAAAAUAAAGGGGUAAACCAUAACAUUACCUGUAAACUUCAUUUCCGGUGGUAUGACCUAAUCUACAAGACAUGAAUAUUCUCUAGGGAGGAAGCAAAGUAUAACUUUGUGAAGACAACAUACUGUGCUAAAUAUGAUACUUGAAGAACAAUAUAGCUCCAGAACAUAAAGGUAACCAAAUAUAUACUUUACUGCAGACACUAGGGUAUCUUAUACUAAAGAAGGUAACCUCACAAUUGAAGAAAAGGCUCUUCUCAGACCUUAUAAAUACCCUCAACAUCAUAUCGAAUUCUGCGUGCGCACUCGGAACUCAAGAUCUAACCACUACCUAAACUUAAAUAUAUUGCAUCGAGGUUUGUACCAUGGCGACGCAUCGGGGCUCGGCCUUCGUCCUCGCCAUUCUCCUAACAUUGACUAUUGCAGCCGCAAGUCAGUUUAAGGUUGGCGGCUCGGGCCAAUGGACUAGUCCUAAUCCUAAUUCGAUGUCGUACAAUGACUGGGCCGAGAGAACCCGGUUCCAAGUUGGCGACACUCUAUGUAAGCAUUUUCGACUCGCUCUCGAUCAUCGAUUGCGUUUGUUCAUCGGGUUAAGUACAAAUUUAGUCUUCAAAGUUCGAUUCCCUUUCAAUUAUAUAUUUCCUCGUUGUUUCAAUUGUUACAUUCAAGUUCAUAUUUAGACUCUCAAUUUAGCCCAAAUGUUUAAACUAGCUAAACCAAAAGGACUUCACUAUUAACUCGUCAAAUGGAAACUAAACACGCCAAAAUCAAAAUCCAGAUCAAACUUUCGGGAUGAAAUUUGUCACUACCCCUUGUUUGUACAUCAAUCUGACACAACUGAAGUCGUACGCAAAGCAUUUUCAACUUGUGUUCGUGUUGCAGUGUUCUCCUAUCCUCCCGACAAGGACUCGGUGCUGCUAGUGGAUCAGAAUGCUUACAACAGCUGCGAUACGUCAUCGUUCAUCGAUCAGUUCAAGGACGGGAGCACGGCGUUCACGUUCGCGAGGUCAGGUCCCUUCUACUUCAUCAGCGGAAACAAAGACAACUGCAAGAAGGACGAGAAGCUGAUCGUCAUGGUCAUGGUGGGCCGAAACGGUAGAACGAGCUUAAUAGCGCCUUCGCCCUCGCCUUCUCUUCCUCCAUCAACUUCUACAGCUUCUUCGCCCCCGCCUAAGGGACAAAUAGAGGUUUCACCAUCAACUUCACCUCCCUCUCCCCCUCCACCUAGUGGGGCUUCUUCGCAAGUUGUGGGCUUCAUGAGCACACUUGGAGCAGCUAUUGUUGCAUCUUUAUUCUAUGUCUUAUGAGAGGUGUGUGUGUGUGUGUGUGUGUGUGUGUUUUGUGAUUAAUGAGUGUGGAGUCAACUUAUUGCUGUAUGAAAUGUUGUGUAAAGAUUUUUUUUUUCUUUAAUUUCUUACAUGUAUUUUUAUUUUUGCGGAAGUUAUUUUGGCAUUGAUUGUAUUGAUAGAAUCAUAAGGAUGGAGAAUAAGCAGGAUUAUUCAUACCAUUGUGAGUGUGUAUGGGUGUUGGUGUUGUUGUAUUUAUUGGAAAAGAGGAAAUAAAAUGUGUGUAUUGAAUUUGAAUCUCCUCAUUUGUUUAAAAAUAUCCUUUCUUUUUUUGUUUAAUUUUUUUUUCCAGCAUAUGUUUCAAUCUAAAUGAAAUUCCUAAGUUUUUUAAUUCUCCCCCUACUUUUCCAUUCAAAAAGAAGUAUAAAUGCCAUACAAAAACAAACACGAAUAAAAUAAAAUAUUUGUUUGGAAUAAAUUUGAGUUUAAUUGAACUUCAUUCCAUUUUAUAGUCCAGUGAAAAAAUAAGAUUUAUUUCAAAUUUUCAAUAUGUUUACUUUUUCAAAUUUUAUAGUUAAAUUGACUACUUUUAAAAGGGGUUAUAAACUAUAACUACUAGCAAAUCAAUUCUCACUAAAUCCGACCUCAAAUAAUCGAAAUUGGAUAAAAAUAUUCAUUUGUAUAGUGAGGAAUCUCGUCAAAUUAUUAUAAAUGAAUUAAAAUUUUAUUAACUAGUGAUUUCAAAUAAAGAAACUAGAAAAACUACUUCUUUAUCUGUGCAUUACAGAAUUGAUUUGCUAGUAGUUUGACGAGAUUCCUCACUAUACAAAUGAAUAUUUUUAUCCAAUUUCGAUUAUUUGAGGUCGGAUUUAGUGAGAAUUGAUUUGCUAGUAGUUAUAGUUUAUAACCCCUUUUAAAAGUAGUCAAUUUAACUAUAAAAUUUGAAAAAGUAAACAUAUUGAAAAUUUGAAAUAAAUCUUAUUUNUAUAUAUAUAUAUAUAUAUAUAUAUAUAUAUAUAUAUAUAUAUAUUGAGAAUAAGGUAGCGUGUUACCUGUUUCAUUCAUUGAACUGAUGAAUUAGGCUACAGGAGUGAGGCAGCUGAGCCUCGAACCGGAUGAAAAAAAAAGGAUUACUGAUUAGCCGACAAAAGUUGAUCCCACGAAUUCGACAACUGUUUAGCCUUACGCACAGCUUUGAGGGGUCUAAUCAAAUCCUUCUUUCAUGUAUUAGAUAUAAUAGUCCUUUUGCGUGUAGCUGUUUCAAAAUUUUAUUUUUUUUAUGUAAUAAAAAUAUGUAUAUCAAAUCUGGAUUGAGAAUAACAUGAAGAUACACAUAGGGAGAGUUUUGAGAAAUUACACUUGUAUGCUAAGUAUAAUUAGAUCUCAUCUUUAAUCUUUAUAAAAUUUUAAAUCUAAUACAGAAUUUUAAAUAACAAAGUUCAGAUUAAAUACAAAUAAAAAAUGCAAUUUGUACGUCCUGUAAUUAGGUGGUACAUCUUAUGCCCACUGCUAAAAAAAUUGUAAAAUCUCUUUAAAAUUUUAAGUAUUAAAAAAAAAUUGAUGAGAAUAGUGAAUAAAUGAGCGUCAUUAAAUGGUAGUUAGGGAUGGCAAAGGAGCGAGCCGGCUUGUGUUCAGCUCGGUAUUCAGCUCGCUUGAGUUCAACUUGAAAUUAAAUGAUUCAAGCUUUGAACAAAAAAAAAACUCAAAAUUUAUUUUAUGUUGAGCUUGAGUAUUACUGUGCUCGCUCGAAUUAGGCUCGAAAAGCUUGAUCCAUAAGUCCGGCUACUAUAUUCUUAUAAGUACGAUCGCCUUCGCACUCAUAAGUCGUUUUCGAUGAUAGAGCUUCCGAAUCAACGAUCCAUAACAUUAAACAUUAUUUAGAAUAUUUAAAACUUCUAGAAAUUAAAUUUUAUAAUUUUUUGACACUAUUUACCUUACAAUCAAAAAAAUCUUAAAAUUGACAAUUUUUAACGGCCGGUAUGGAAUAUUUGCUAGUUUAACGAUGUAAAAAACCGGAAUCGAUUGAAUUUUUGAUAGAAAAUUCUAUUCACUAUCUACAUAAAGAUCAAAAACUCCGAUCUUAAAUUGAAGGAUCCAAUCAUCUAUUUUUAGGAUGUCAUUCGAUUUUGACCGUUCAUUUUAUACCCACUUGAUGGACUUUAUUACGAUUUUGAAAAAUUACGAAUUUAUUUUUUAGAAGUUUGAAAUACUCAAGAUCAUAUUUAACGAUAUGGAUCGUCGAUUCGGAGGCUCUAUCAUCGAAAAUGACUUCAGUGUAUAAUAGCCGGACUCAUGUUAUUUUACAAUGACUUGCUAUGGUGAAGGAAUAUUAAGCCUUAACAUAUAUUCUGCUUCCAUUCAGUUUGACUGCGUAUCAAACCAUCAAUUUCUCCUACCGUCAAAAUAACUUUACUCAUGAUUAAACAUAACUUGCCAUUUUUAUUCAUUGAUAUCUUAACAGCACGAAUAUGAAUGCUCUGUAGUCCAUGACAGAAAAUUUUGAUCAAGCAUAGCCAUCGCGCCAAGUGAAAAUCUACUCUUCUCUUUUGUAAAUAGAACUAAAACAGUGUGUGUGUCAUCAUCAUUUAGCAUAUCUAUUCUUAAAUUUUUUUUGAAAAUCUUAAUGUGGGGUUCGUCAAUAUCUGGUAUCAAACUAAUUUCAGCACUAAAAUUAUUAGAUGUGAAUUAGCUAGGUGCAUGCCUUGCCUUACAGCCUUAGUCUACAACGUUAGCCAAACAGCCCAAUUUGAUUGCCCCACUGAUUCAAUAAUCAGCGAAACUUGAAUCCACAUCCAAAUCCUAUUGAGACUGAUGAAGUGCGACAUAAACAGUAGUAACUUGUUCUCAUCCCAGCUAUUAUCUACUUAGUUCUCUGUUCUCUCUGGAUGGUCUGCAUCUGUUACAUCUUGAAAUGGAACUGAGCUCGUCUUGUGAAGUUUGCAUACGUUGCAGAAGUCUCUUUGUAGAAAUCUACGAAUUAGUUUUUACUCAUUCUCCUGAAAACUUGCCCGACUGGAUCAUGGGCUUUGUUUACUAAUGUGUAUGUCUUUUAUGAACUUUUGAUUUUUUAUAUGCAGUACUGGAAAAGCUAGGAGUGCGAGAGCAAGUUAUGUUAUGGAAAUAAUAAUUUUGAGUCGUUGGAAUUUACUUAGGCAAUGGUGCAUAUAUUUGUUCAUGCAUAAGACAUCUGGGACUCUUGUGUUUUCCCUUGCCUUCCCCCAAUAAUGCAAGAAUAUUAAUUCACCAUUCUCAGUUCAUUAACCAAAAAAAAAAAAAAAAAAAAAAAAAAAAAAAAAAAAAGCAGCUUUUGUUAAUUGAAGCCUAUAAACAAAUUCUGUUUUAGAACAUUACGAGUCGCCAAAGAAAAUGGACACUUUUACAUGGCCAAUGUUUAUGAAGAAAAUAAGAAGAUAUAUACAUAUGUUAGAUUCACUAUAACAAUGAAUGAGUAACUUUACAUUUGCAUUAACCCCCAAAUACCUGUAUGAGCACUAAAUCAACACCCGCACUAUCUUGCGUGCAUAUAGUAUAAACAAAUUAAUGUAACAAAAAUUAACUCCAAUUACAUGCCGCCUUCUCAUGCUUCCUUCCUCAUGCUUUCUCCUGCAUGCUCAUUUCCUUGGAUCACAGCAGAAAGAUGCAGCGCCAUCAGACGAUGCUGGCGGCGGCAUCUGACAAUUUCUGAACGGCGUCUCUGAAUCAAUGAGUGGCGGUGGCGACGGUUCAUCAUUGAGCACCGAGUCAAACCAAUCAGAAUAGUCUUCGUUCUCUAGUACCGAUAGCAGCUGAUCCCAAUCGCCUGCUUCGUCGACCACCGUCCGCUCGUCCUGAUCAGGCGCCAAUAACAGCUGCUGGUCUGCAGUUGCAGCCGCCGCUGUCGUCCCAUUAAGUUCAUAAGACAGCAGAGGUGGCUGACGGUCCCCAGCUCCUUCCAUGGCCGUGCUACUACCUAUGUCUCCAGUGUUCACAUCUCCUCGGAGUCCAUAAAAAAUGUCGGCAUUCAUCGUCUCCGUCCACUUACGAAGAUAUGGAAUUGGCAGCAGAUCAAUGUCCGCCGUCAUCCCAAGCGCACCGUGGCAGGCAAGAUUGAUGUCACCGUUCGCCAUCUCUCUUUCUUUAAUACCAUCCGCCGAUGCGACAGAGUCAGCAUAUUCUGUGUUUGUACUACUGUAGCUGCACUCCCCAACCUCGAAGAAAUCAGCAUUCCCCGUCGCCACAUUUUUGCCGUGAUAUGGAAUUGGCUGCUGCUGAUCAGCAGCCAUAGUCCUCCCGAGCAGACCAUCGGAGACAAGGUUGACGUUGUUGACGUCGCGAACGGAUGCCGCAAUAUCGGUUUCUGCCGCAGGUGUGCGCGCCGCUUCCUCCCGCUUUCUUUUGUGGCUCCUCGCGAUCUCUCUUGCGCUCUUCUUGAUGCAGCACAGGACCGGUUCUUGCGAUGCCCCCUGUUUAUAAUUCGACAAAUUAAGUCCCGAAAUUAAAGAAAAUGUGAUCUUCGGAAAAAGGCGAGCAAGAGAUCGUUGAUUAGCGCGUACCUGUUGCCGCGUACCCUGGUUGGCUGUCGACGGCAGCUCAUACUCGUACAUGACGUAUCCGGUCGUCUUCUUGGAUGGUUUCUUGGAUGAGCAGUCGUCGUCGUCGCCGAUACAGAACGAGAACAUCGCUUUGAAGCCGAUGACUUCGCCGCCGGCGGACACGAUCUCGUUUUUCUUGGUUUGGCCGGUCCACGUCCCCCGGCCGGCAGUGCGCUUCACACGAUUCCCAUGCCGGGUCCUCUUGGUGAGGAAAUACCCAAUCUCGCCGUCGUCGCCGAGGAGGCUCCGUGGAUCCGUGGAGUAGACUUGGGCCUCAACGACGUGGUCCCAGCGCAGGCUCUGGCCGGCGGCGUAGGCGCGGAGGUAGUGGACAAUGAGCUGCUCAUCCGUGGGGGUGAAGGCGAAGCCGAGGGCCACCGACUCUUCCGACUGCGACCGGCUCGGCCGCGGCGCCGUUCCGCGGGAAGAGGGAUGGCAUUGUUGCGCCAUCGAUCUGAGAACCUUAAUUGGAGUCGGAGGAGGAAGCUCGCUGUGGAUUUCUGGCAGGAGACGAACGAGGAUUUCCAAGAAAGGCUCGAGAAGGGGAGGAGGGUGAGAAAGAGAUCAAGAAAAGAAGUUGGCGGGGUGGAGAGAGCGAGAGAUUUGAUCGUGAUCGAGGCGACCGUUAGUAAAUCCUCGCGCGCUCCUUUCUUGGGUUUAAGAUUGUAUAUGGGUUUGGGAGCUAGGAUUCCUAAUCGGACUCAACUUGGGCGUAAUUUAACAACGGUAAUCAGAUGGUGCUAAUUAUUAUACGAACGGCGUGACCGAAUAAUAAGCUUACCUCCGCGUAUAGUUAACUUAAUAUUGCACGAUAUGCAUGAAUUAAUGGAUAGCGAGUUUAAAAUUGAUUUUCGGUCCAAUAAAGCCUUUGGUAACACCAUUUUCAAAAUACAAUUCAAAUUUAAUUUUAAAUUUUAAAUUUUUAAAUUUAUUUUUUUAAUUUUUAAAAAUUAAAAUUUAAAAUUUACAUUUUACAUUUUAAAUUUCAAUUUCAAUUUUAAUUUUAAAUUUAAAUUUUAAAAUUUCAAUUUCAAUUUCAAUUUCAAAUAAAAUUUGAAAUUUGAAAUUCUAGAAUUUUAAAAUUUAAUUAGAAAAUUUAAAAUUAUAUGUUUUAAUUUUUCAAAUUACAAAUUUCAAAAUUUUAAAAUUCAUAUAUUAAAUUUUAAAUUAUUAAAUUUUAAUUUUGAAUUCUAAAAUUUUAUUUUUAAAAUUUUAAAUAUUCUAGUUUUAAAUUUGAAAUUUUAUAUUUCAAACUUUAAAUUUUAAAUUUUUAUAUUUUUAAUUUCAAAUGUCAGGUUUUAAAUUUAGAUUUUAAAUUUUUGAAAUUAAAAAUUUAUAUUUAGCUUUAAAAAUUCAAAUUGUGAAUUUUAAAUUUCAAAUUUUGAUUUUUUUAAAAAAUUAAAAUAUCAAAUUUUAAAUUUUGUAUAAUUUUUAAAUUUUAAUUUAUUUUAAAAUAUAAUUUAGUAGAAAUAUUAUUAUAUGCAGAUAUUAAAAUAUUUUUUACCAAACAGUUUUACGAAAUCAAUUCAGAAAAAUUGCUUUUAUCUUAACUCAGCCAAAUGCUCUACAGUUUUUAACCAAAAUCGCUUCUCCAAACCGAAAUCAAUUCUGCAGAAAUUACUUUUUCAGAAUUUAGGCCAAACCGAAGUUUUUUCAUUGUGAUUGUUAAGAAAAAAUUUAAUUUCUUUCACUUUUAAAAUGUCUUGAUGCUUAGAUUUUGUAGAAAAGCAUAUUUAUCUUAUUUUCAAAAAAUGAUUUGAAAGUCGAGUAUAGUGUUCAAUUUCUCACAUUUAAUCAUAUUUCUCAUCUUAUAAAUAUACAAAUUUCUUGAGUAAAUCAAACUAAUAUAUUGAAUAAUAUAUUUAUAUAUUCAAAGAGAGUCUAAGAAGUUGGUAGGCAUAGAUUCUGAAAAACAAUUUAUGUAGAAUUGAUUUUGGUUUGAAGAAUUGAUUUGAUCAAAACUUGUAUAGUUUUGUCUAAAUCUAGUAAGAAAGUGGAUUUUUUUUCUAGAAUAAUUUUAGAAAAUUGUUUGGAAAUUUUUUUAAGUGUUUGCAAAUAAUAAUUUUUUUGCUGAAUUUUAUUUUAAAUUUUGAAUAUAACAUUCGAAUCUGACUUUAAAAUAUGAAAUUCGAACUAGAAUUUAUAUCAGAAUUUACAAUCCAAAUUUAAAAUUCAAAAGUUUAGAAUUUUGAAAUUUCAAACUUAAUAUUUAGAAUUUAAAAUUUAAAAGUUAAAAUUUAUUAAAAUAAAAAAUCUAAAUUUAAAUUACAUUUAAAUUUAAAGGUAUAAAUAAAAUAAAGAAAUGUAGUCAAUGUUUAUUAGAAACCAACUGUAAAGAUUUAGGACCAAAUCGGUUAGCAAUUAAUGACCAUCGAAUAAGUUGUAGACAUAGCAUUUCUCCUAUCAACAAUUCUUUUUGGCUCUUGUAGUAAAAAAUUUGGAUAAUAAAUGUCACGCCUCGAAUUACCAUGUUUUUCCGGGCACGCCAACAGACCCGCCGUAUAUAUAGAAAUUUUUCGUGUAUGCGAAGCGAUAGCUGUACCUGUAAGCACGACAAAUCUACACCGGUCUACAACACCUCUUCGCUCCAGCGAGUACAGCAACAACAAAAAUCUCCUCGAACGCUCGAACGCUCGCCCAACGUCGGCAAGAAGUCGACAGGAGGAAACCCGCACUCUUGCUCGACCUCCAAUGGCUCAACUGAGACACCCACGCGCACGAACGGUCCUCCGGAGAAAUGUCAAAUCCGGAUGAGCUCGAUCCACACCUACCCAACGAACGGCGUACCCUAGCUAGAGAGAGAGAAGAAGAAGAAUGACUAUCUGUUCUCCCAAGGCUCUCUACACAACUCUAUAUAAGGACCAAAAUACCCCUCACCAACUCACUUUUCCACCUGGAGUAUUGGUACUCAGCUUGAAUACCGGUACUCUGCCCCUCAAUCCGCAGUCUCGCAUACUAGGUAUCGGUACCAGCCCGAUGUAGUACCGGUAUCCGAGCUCAGUACCGGUACUCAGCAAUAGGUAUCGGUACUCAGCAUCAAGCAUGCACAAACCCGAGAGCACCCAGUUCUGCAAUAUCACUGGGGUACCGAUACCCGAGCUCGGUACCGAUACUCGGCAACAGGUACCGGUACUCAGCAUCAGGCAUGCAAAAACCCGAGAGCACCUAGUUCUGCAAUAUCACUUAGGUACUGGUACUCCUCCCUAGGUACCGGUACUCAACAUGAAAUCCUGCACUUUGGAGAUUUCAGUGUUAGUACUCCACUCUCGCACCGUGCUGAGUCCGUUUUGCAUCUAUUUCGUGCCAAAACGACUCUGACUUGUCUCGACAAGCCACAAAUGCUGAAGUCAUGCAAACCACUAAACACCAAGGACAUUAUAUCCUCCCCCACUAUAAAAAGUUUCGUUCUCGAAACUUAGAAUCGUACCUUAAUCCUGAGCCUCAAACAAAUAUGGGUAGGACUCUUACAUCACAUCCUCCGGCUUAGACAUCGCCUCACGCUCCUUGUGAUUACUCCACUACACUUUCACGUACGGUAUGACCCGGUUGUGCAAUUCUUUUGUCUCACGAGUAAGAAUCCACACCGGUCGCUCCUCGUACUUUAAGUCCUCGCCAAGCUCAAGUGGAGUGAAGUCAAUCACGUGUGAGAGAUCAAACACAUAUCUCUUCAAUGCCGAUACAUGAAACACAUCAUGGAUACCAGCAAGUCGCGGGGGUAGUGAAAUCCGGUAUGCCACUGGCCCGACUCGCUCGGAAAUCUCGAAAGGGCCAACAAAUCGUGGACUGAGCUUUCCACGAACUCCAAAUCUGCGAAUGCCUCGGGACGGCGAGACUUUCAGGAAAACAUGGUCACCAACCUGAAACUCCAAGUCUCGUCUCCUAGUAUCAACAUAGCUCCUCUGUCGACUCUGGGCGGUCUCAAGAUGUCAUCGCAGAACCCUAACCUUCUUCUCUACCUCCAACAAAAUCUAGGUCCCAAAAUCUUCCUUUCACCCAUAUCACUCCAAUGCAAGGGUGAUCGACACUUCAAUCCAUACAACGCUUCAAACAUAGCCAUCCGAAUGCUCGCUUGAUAGCUGUUGUUGUACGCAAAUUCAACCAAUCUCAAGUGUCGAUACCACUAUCCUCCAAAAUUCAGAACACAAGCUCUCAGUAUGUCCUCUAGAGUCUGAAUGGUCCUCUCUGACUGACCAUCUGUCUGUGGAUGAAAUGCUGUAUUGAAGUGGAGCUGCGUACCCAAAGCCGUCUGAAGGCUCCUCCAAAAAUGCGAGAUAAAUCUCGGGUCUCUAUCAGAUACAGUCGAGGUAGGUACUCCAUGUAACCUCAUUAUCUCAUCCAAGUAUAGGUGGGCGAGUCACUCUCUAAACCAAGUGGUCUGCACUGGUAGGAAAUGGGCAGACUUAGUCAGUCUAUCCACUAUCACCCAUAUAGAAUCAAAUCUACCCUGUGCUCUCGGUAAACCCAUGACAAAAUCCAUCAUGAUAUGCUCCAAUUUUCACUCAGGUACUGGAAGAUUCUGAAGCUUGCCAGCAGGUACACGAUGCUUUGCCUUCACCUGUUGGCAAGUCAGACACGGAGCCACGCAUUUGCCAAUGUCCUCCACCAAAAGUGUACCUUUAAAUCCUUAUACAUCUUGGUUCCACCAGGGUGAACCAUAUGAGGCGAGUAAUGACCCCUCUCAAAAUCUCCUCUCGGAUCUCUGAAUCCUCAGGCACACACAGUCGGUUUCUAUACCGCAGUACUCUCGAAUUGUCCACAGUAAAGGCCUCCGCCUAUCCCCUCUCUAUCUGCUCCCGGAUUCUCAACAAAUGAGAGUCUCCACUCUGUUUCUCUCUGAUCCUAUCCAACAGAGUGGGCUAUAAAACCAUAGACAUCCGUCUUGCAGUAGUCCCAGGGGACACUAUCUCGAGCCUCAGUCGCUGUAACUCCUCAAGUAACAGUCUCUGCUGAGUAAUCAAUAUGCUCAAAUUCUGCACCGACUUCCUGCUCAACCCAUCUGUCACCACAUUCGCCUUGCCGGGGUGAUACUAAAUGCUAAUAUCAUAAUCCUUCAAUAACUCCAACCACCGACGUUGCCUCAGGUUCAACUCCUUUUCGGUGAACAGACACUUGAGACUUUUAUGAUCGGUAAAGAUGUGAGAUCCCUGGUGUUUGACUGUGGAGGCUUGUCGACAGCUCGGGAGAGUGUCGGCACAAGUCCGAGUAGCGUUGGCGUCAAAUAGACGCAAAACGGACUCCGUGCGACGCGAGGGCAGCUUUCAGCGAAGAAAUCUGCAAAAUAGCAGAUUUUCCUGCUUGCUGUACCGGUACAGCCAGCGAGGUGUACUGGUACACUACGCUGGCUGAGCGCGUACUGCUUUCAGGUUGGCUUCCUGUAACGGUACGCGAUCCCGUGUACCGGUACACCAGGGUAGGUGAGGGGGUGUUUUGGUCUUUUUCUACCUCGUUCGUAUCACCCUCCUCUCCCCAGCUUAUUUAUAUGUAGAGUGAGGCUGAGAGAGAGAGUUUUGCUCUUGGUUCUCUCUCUCUCUCUCUCUAGAGCCGAUUGUGAGCAAGGUGGAGCUCGGGUGGAGUUUCGUCGCCGACGUGGUGCCGCGGAGCCGUUCGGGCGCACGUUGUGUCGUCUUGGUGCUGUGAGGAGCUCGGGCGAGCGUGGAUUUCCGUCGUCCUCGACAUUGCGCCGACUCUUGAGGAUCUAUCAAGGUGAGUGCUCUGUGGAAUUGCUGCGCAUACUUCGGGUAUCAUUAAUUCAAGCUUAAGUGCUGAUUCGCAGGAUCUUGUCGUCAACUGUUAGUAUUUCAGCUUGUUCUCGACGUAGGAGCAUUGGAUUGCGACGAGACUUGGUUCGUUGGAUUCGGGACUUUGAGAGGAAUCCACGAAGCCCUUACUUACGAAUUUUGGUGAAGGUUAGCUUGGUCGAAAUCCUUCUCUUCUCUGCUGCUGUGGAUUUUGGACUGAAUUGAGGAUUUUUGGUGUUUUUAGUUUGGAGUUAGCUCGAUUUCGAGACUCGGGUGUUUUUGGUCGAUCCAGCAGGUGGUGUCGCAGCCGAGGGGGUUCCGUGCUGCCAGGGAUUAGCGUGCGAGGUGGGUUACAUCGGCUUUGACUCCUAAGUUCAUAAUCGUCGACAUGUAUAGAUCUCGAUUUUUGGAUAAUCUAUUCUAGCUCGAAUUCAUGGAUUAUAUGGUAGAUUGCAAAUCUGAAUUUGGAGUAUAUGGUAAUAAAUUAAGUAGGUUAUACAUGUUGGACUUGGAAAUUGAAUUAGGAGAAAACCUGCGAUUUGGACCUGUCACCUGUUUAAACUGCCUGAUUUAGCUCUAGGAGCCGUUAUAAAAUUAUACUGUCGCAGUAUCCUCAAGACGAGUACUCCAGGUAGUUUAGAAUGCAUUUACGCUCAUGCUGGUAUGUCGAGUGAAUUUUUACAGGGUCGGUCAGGUUGUUCCGGACUGUUGGGUGCCGUCAGAGUUGACGGUGGACCCGUAUCGCCUUUUUGGCGUCAGAUUGUGCCGAGGGCAAGUUACUUGUUGGUUGUUAGACCAGUUUGAGCCGGUUACUUGACUUUGGCUAUUGAGAGCCUGAUUGAGCUCGACAGAGAUACGCUGCAUACUCGGUUGGGUAGCGCCCACGAGUGCCACCCCGGAGACGGCCUUUGUGCUUUCGCGUUGGUGUCGCUCAUGCCAGUUGGACUUGCUCUCCACGGACCAGUUAGUGUGGAUAGAGCUCGAUAGUCGCAACGGCGCAGGGACGGGUGUAUUCACAGUCCCAGGGACGGGUAUGUUUACAGUCCCGAUUGGAUUGGGUCAGAUUUGACAUGUUCUACAGUUGGUUAGUGUAGAGCAUGAUAGUGUAGUGACUUACAGCGGUUGAGUUAUUUCCUGCAUUUUUUCUAUUAUCCUGGCUCCCUUUUGUAGAUUUAGUGGGUGGACCGAUGUUGUUUUGGGCGGCACCCACUGAGCACUCCUUGUUUUUACAGUAGUUCUCACGCCCAGAAGUUACCCCUGUUUUGCAGAGUCACAGGUUUCGGCUGCUACGCCUUCCGCGGAUCAGGAUCGAGGCAAGGGCGUCGCGAGUUAGAGCCCUACCCGCUGAGCAGAGCUAGAGGCACCCUACUGCAGGUAGUUGUUUUACUUCGAGCUUAUGUACAUAGUACUUAACUCGCCAGUGCAAGUGAUGCUGUAUUUUGGAUUCUGAACUAUGUAUAUGAAGCUCAGUUUGUUUAGCUUUUGUUUACUCGAGCAGCUCUAUACUACUGUUUGUAGUAUUAUUUGAUUUACAGGUACUGAUGUCGCUUCAUAUAUAGGGAAAAUUCCUUUGUAUACAGCGGAUUUGUCGGCGUGCCCGGGGAACGAGACAUCCGGGGCGUGACAGAUUUCACAGUGCUCACCAUACAAAUAAUGCCGCCAUAACUUCAAAGCAAAAAUCACCGCGGCAAGCUCCAAGUCAUGCGUAGGGUAAUUCUUCUCAUAAUCCUUUAGCUGCCGGGAAGCAUAAGUAAUUACCCUAUCAUGCUGCAUCAGAACACAACCUAACCCACUAUGCGAUGUGUCAUUGUAAAUCACGAAUCCUUCCUCCAUAACUGGAAGGGCAAGGAUAUGAGCCGACAUCAAUCUCUAUCUCAACUCAUCAAAGCUCCUCUGAUAAUCCUCACUCCAGACGAACUUAAUUUCUUUUCGAGUCAAUCGAGUGAGGAGUGAGGAAAGUUUCGCAAAACCUUCCACAAACUGACGGUAAUAACCAGCCAAACCAAGGAAACUCCUCACCUCAGUAACCGUCGUCGGUCUCGGCCAAUCCCGAAUCGCAUCAAUCUUCUUCGGGUCAACUGCUACUCCAGCUGCAGAAAUUACAUGGCCCAAAAAAGAAACCUUCCGAAGCCAAAACUCACACUUUUUCAACUUAGUAUACAACUUCUUCUCCCUCAGAAGCUGUAAUACUAUUGUCAAGUGCUCCUCAUGCUCAACAUCAUUCUGGGAGUAAAUCAGAAUAUCAUCAAUGAAUACUCGAUUCAUCAAAUCCAUAAAUAAGAUAGGGGCAUUCGUCAAUCCAAAAGGCAUCACUGUGAACUCAUAAUGCCCGUACCGACUCUGGAAAGCCGUCUUGGGAACAUCCUCGGCCCUCACCCUCAACUGGUGGUAACCUGACUGGAGAUCAAUUUUUGAAAAGACACAAGAUCCUUCCAGCUGACUAGACAGAUCAUCGAUGCGCGGCAAAUGAUACUUGUUCUUGAUUGUCACUGUAUUCAACUCCCGGUGAUCCACACACAGUUUAAGUGAACCAUCAUUCUUUUUUACGAAUAACACCGGCACUCUCCAAGGCAACACAUUGGGUCUCACAUACCCCUUAUCCAUCAAAUCCUGAAGCUGCGCCUUUACUCCCUUAGCUUUGCCGAUGCCAUUCGGUAGAGACCCUUUGAGAUUGGCGCAGUUCCAGGAACCACGUCAAUCACAAACUCAAUUUCUCUAUCCGACGGCAUAGUCGUCAACAACGGGGGAAAAUAUCUGAAAACUCGCGAACUACAAGGAUUUCCUCGAGUCCUGUUGUCACCAUAGGCACCUCUACUGUCGUCGCCAAGAACGCGAUGCAUACUCGGCUCAUCGGCUGUCUAGCUCUCGCCGAAGAGAUCCAAGUAGCAAACAGCGUACUCCUGCAGCCUCUGAAAGUGAACUCCUCCUGGCCUAGCUCGCGAAACGUCACUGUCCUAACUCCACAGUCGAUCGUCGCAUAGUACUGAGCCAGCUAGUCCAUGCCAAGCAUUACAUCAAAGUCCUGCAACUGCCCCAAGACCAACAUGUAUGCAGGCAUAAUCCAAGGGCCCAACUGUACUGGACAAGCCCAACAACACUCCGCCACAUGUAAAACAUUGUUGAAAAUUUGCACAUCGCUUGCAGGCAAUAGCGGCCCUAUCGCUAAUCCAUGUAAUGAUGCAAAUGCUUGACUAACAAAAAAAUGUGAUGCACCGGUAUCAAAUAAAGUACGAGCUCUAAUACCAUAAAUCAAAAUGAUACCUACUACAUCAUGAUCUGCUGCCGUGGAGUCCUCAACCUGAGCUACAUACACCCUACUACUCGAUGCCUGCUAUCGUCGCUCACUCUGUCGCAGCACUGAAGCUCUGUCAUCCUCGCAGUAGCUCAAAGACACUUCAUAGGUCUACUGGGGUACUGGCGAGGCCAACGCCAUUGAAGGUGCUGGUGAUGCUGCUCGGGGACAAGCCGCUCACAGAUGCCCUGGCUAUCCUCAUCCAAAACACCGGCCCUCUCUACUCAAAAUAACGAUGCCAGUGCGGUCCCAUACAAAUAACACACUGCAGAGUACCCUGCUGCUGUCGUUGCUGAGCCCCCCAGACCGCUGCCGCCCCGAAGACCCACGACCCUGAGAGCGUGAUCGUGGAGGCCUCGGCGGACGCCUGCUACUAGUUUGUCCUCCGUCAUCUGGAACUGGGUGCUUCGUGUCCUGACUCUGCCUCGGCACCGUCGCUCGCUCACGGACCGAUACAGAUCCUCUUGACCCACAACGCAUAACUUAAUCGACGCAUCCAAGGUUCGCAACCUUUGCCCCUGAACCAAAACAAAGAUCUCUGGCCUCAGACCUCUCUCAUACAGAUAGACCUUGUGGGCUUCAUCCCUAGCUAUGAAUGGAACACAGUUAAGAAGCCUGGUGAACUCUCGAGUGUACUCCUGAACUGACUACUCCCCCUGCUGUAGCUUCUUCAGAUCCUCAUUGAGUUUUUGCUUCACGCUAUUUGGAAAAUAGGCCCCGUACAGUAGUCCACAAAACUUGUCCCACCUCAUCUGUAGGGCAACCAAACCUCGAUUAUGCCGCGUCCUCCUCCACCAGGCGUGCGCAUCACCUGCUAAACAGUGCACUGCCAAAUGUACCUGCUCUCGCUCCGAAAUAAAGAAAUCCUCAAACAGUUUCUCCAUCACACUCACCCAUGCCUUUACUACUCAGGGCUCGGUGCGACUACCAUCGAAGUGCGGCGAAUCAAACCGACAAAAACGAGCGAGCCUCUCGGUCAUCUGCUCCUGCUCAGCCUCUGACAUCUGAGAUGCCUCUCCAGUAGGUGCAACUGGUGCGGUAGGAACUGUCGCCGGUGGGGGUACAGCUGUGGCUGGUGCGGCCACUGGAGUAGUCGAAGGUGGCGCCUGCUGCUCUGACACUCUGGGCGCUGUAUUCGACUGCUGAGUAAAAGUCUCACACAUUCUCUGUAGUAACACCCCUUACAGCAUGGUCACCUCAGUCAAGGUAGCCAACUACUCUCUCACAUCCGGGGGUGCACUCGGUCCUGCCUGCUCCGGCAUCUCUGAUGGCGCGGAAUGAUCCCGCGUCGACGGUCGACCUCGGCGUCGAUACUUGGCUACCUGAAACCAAAGCCAGAGUCAGACACAACACAUAACCAACUCUCGACCCAAUCAAGCGAAAGUCUACAAAGUCGCCCCUGUUCCUCCUAAAAAUUAUAUCGUCUACAGCAGAUAUAAUUUUCUUGGUAGAAACAGAUACUCCUUCAGUCACUCCCUCCACUCUAGGAUGAGUUAAUAAAUCAAUCGCCGACUCGCGUCUUGCUUUCCUAAGGUCUACCAAGCUUAUGGUUUCUAGAUCCCAACGACCUAAUUCUAAGCUCUGAUACCAAAUUAAUCUGUCACGCUCCGGAUUACAAUGUUUCUCCGGGCACGCCAACAGAUCCGCAGUAUACAUAGAACUUUCCCGUGUAUACGAAGCGAUAACUGUACAUGCAAGCACUACAAAGCUAUAACUAAGUGUAUAGAGCUACUAGAGCUAAAACAUAUAUAUAAAACAAAAUGGGUUCACUGUACAUACACCGGUCUACAACACCUCCUCGCUCCAGCGAGUACAGUAACAACAAAACAGUAUGUCCAUAAAACCCAAAUCUACCUCUGAUAGGUGCUUCUCUAGCAAACGACCAGAGAAAGGACGGCUCUAGCUCGCGACUCCCUUGCCUCGAUUCGAAUCCACAACAGCAGCAUCAGUAGAUGAAGGUUCUGCAAAAAGAUGUCAACCACUGGGUGUGAAAAGUACUACAAAACAGAGUAGUCCUCAGUGGGUACUGUCACCGACCUCAACGGCCCAUCCACUAAGUCUACAGAAAUGAUAUGCACAGGAUAGUAAGGAAAGCUGGAAAGAACUCUACAGCUAUAUCCCUUUAUACUAUCGCUAAUCAACACAAAUUAUCUAUAGACAUAAACAUGCAUCACUCUGACCCAAUCUCAUUAGGGCUGCCCAAACGGACCCACCAUGCCUAUAACCAAACUACACCAUACACCACCCACGGGGAUGACCGGUCCAAGUAAACAGUCCAAAACAGGACGACUGUGACAUCAACGCAAGUCAAAGCCUCAUUCUGGAGUGGCACUUGUGGGCGCGACCGAACCGAGAAUGCAACCGUGUCUCUGCCAAGCUCAAUCAUGCUCUCACAUGCUGUAGUCAAUGCAAAUAGGUCUAAUUGGUCUACCAACCAAAGCUCAUGUAUCCUCGGCACAAUUUGAUGCAAAUCUUGGUCCACCGUCAACCGCGACGGCACCCGAUAGUACGAAGCAGUCUACACACUACUAUAAAACGAGCUCAGCCCCCAGCACAAGCGUAAACUGACCUACACUAAUCUUAGUAUCCAAUACACACUAACAGCGGGGAUACAAGAAAAUCACAGCGCUCAAAGCUAAAUCUGGUAACUUUCAGAAAAUGACAGUGUAGGUUUAACGAGUUUUCUCCUAGUUCAAAUCCCAGUUCAACAUGUAUACAACAUCUAAAAUCACUAAUUAAUGCUCCAAAAUUUGGAUGUCAAUAAAGCAUGCAAAUCCACGAAUUUGAGCCACUAACUAUGAUGAACAAAGCCAAGAAUACAUGCUGGUAAUGCUAGGAUUUAGAAGAAAACUCGACGAUUUCGGUAAACAUUAACCCACCUCGAACGCUCGCUCAACGUCGGCAAGAAGUCGACAGGAGGAAACCCGUGCGCUCGCUCGACCUCCAACAGCUCAACCGAGACACCCACGUGCACGAACGGUCCUCCGGAGAAACGUCAAAUCCGGAUGAGCUCGAUCAGCGCGUACCCGACGAACGGCGUAACCCAGCUAGAAAGAGAGAAGAAGAAGAAUGACUAUUUGUUCUCCUAAGGCUCUCUACACAACUCUAUAUAAGCUGGGUUGGUUGGGAUGAACGACACUUCAAAAGGACCAAAAUACCCCUCACCAACUCACUUUUCCACCUGGAGUACUGGUACUCAGCUUGAAUACCAGUACUCGGCCCCACAAUCCGCAGUCUCGGACACUGAGGGUUCGAGCUCGAUACCGAUACUCGAAAACAGGUACCGGUACUCAGCAUGAGGCAUGCGCAAACCCGAGAGCACCCAAUUCUGCAAUAUCACUGGGGUACCAGUACUCCUCCCUAGGUACCAGUACUCAACACUGAAAUCCUACACUUUGUAGAUUCAGUGUCAAUACUUCACUCUCGCACUGCGCUGAGUUCGUUUUGCGUCUAUUUCGCGCCAAAAUGACUCUGACUUGUCUUAACACCCACCUGUCGUAUCGACAAGCCAUAGAUGGUGAAGUCACACUAACUACUAAACACCAGGGACACUACAAUAAAAAUAGUAGAGACAGAUGGAUUAUUGGAGUGUAGAGUUCUAAGAUUACAACCAAUUUUAGUUCUAGCACUAGCAUUGCUCUAUUAACUGUGCAAAUUGUAGUUCUUAAUUUUUGCUCCACCCCUCAAAAUACUCUGUGUAUGUGUGUGUGUGUGUGUGUGUAUACACAUGCCCGCAUGUUUGUCGAUAGCCAUUUUCAUCCUUCGGAAGGCUAAUUCUGGUAGAGAGGUAUUGCUUCAUGCCUUGCACAUGCUUAAUAACGCUCAUAUAUGAUGUAUCUGUUUUGUUCUUACUUGUUUUUGUUUUAAUCUUUAAUAUCGACGACAUGUAGUGUAAGUUAGAUUUUGGUAUUGCCUGCCAGUUGUUUAUUUGAUUGUCUCAUAGAACUAUAAGUAGAGAAGCUACUUUCGUUCCAUAGCAUGAGAUUUAAGAUGCAUAUAUAGCUUGGUCUACAGGUGUUGUCUAUCAUUUAUUUUAUUGAAAUAUGUCAGAGAACUCUAGUUCGAGAGAAGAUUGUCCUAGAUUUGUCUUAGGCCUUCUUUGGUUGUCAGAAUAAAAUCUCCAAUGAUAAAAUCUCCAAUGCUAACAUGCACAGUAUGAAGAUUUUCUUGGAUGACAAGUAGUUAGGAGUUUGAUAUUUGCUCAUUUAAAAGUCUUUACAUCCAUGAUUUGGUAGAAUGACAUGUUUUACCUAUAAGGUCAUUUAUAUUGUUACGAAGAAAUAAUUUAAAGACCGAAUAUGAUAUUCAUAUUAGGCAACACUCUCCUAAUCUACCAAAUAAUACAUACUUCUUAAGUAAAUCAUCAUAAGUAAAUCUUCAUGCAUCUACAUAGGGCUAUAUGGCUUUGUUUGAAUCCCAAAAUAUACCGUCAUUACAUCUCCUUGGUUUACUUAGGAAACUCAUACAUUUGGUAGAUCAAGAUGUGAUUAUACGUCUAGAAUAGAAUAUCAUAUUCGCCCUUCAAGUCAUUUUUUCUGGAAUAAGUUAAAUCAUCUCGUAGAUGAAAGGCUUGUAUGGAUCCAUGAAUACCUUACUAUGGAUAUAUUUUUGAUUUUCUCAAUAAUUAAGUGUAAUAUUUGGUAGAUGAGAAAUAUGAUCAAACAUCUAGAACGAAAUAACAUAUUCCACUUUCUAAAUCACACUGUAGAUAAUAUGUUAUCCUACCAAAUCAUGGAGAACUAGACCUUUCAUGAAGCAAAAAAUCAAACUUUUUGCCGCAAAUUGCAUAAGAAAAACUUCAUGCCAAAUAAGUUGUUCAAGGAUAACUUAUUUCCAACAUCCAACCAGGGCCGAAAUGUGCUAUCCUACCAAAUAUAGAUAUCGGCUUUUCAAGGAGAAAAAAAAUCAAACUUCUUGCUUCGAAGGCCAAAAGAGCUACCUUUAGAUUUUAGCAUCCAAAUAAUGUCUUAUUACCUAGGAGCAUGAUUUGGUGCUAUUAAGUUUUUUGCCGUUGGAUUAAAAAAUGUGCUGUUAUGAUGAUGUAGGCCCCCGAGAGUUGAAUGGAUGGUUAGUUGAAUAGUAUAAUCAAACAGAUGAAAAUGAUAAAAGAGGUAAAUCUAACAGCAGAAAACUUGAUAGUACUAAAUGUUUUGUGCUAUCGAUAGUAUCCCAGCCGGACUCUCUCUCUCUCUCUCUCUCUCUCUCUCUCUCUCUCUCUCUCUCUCUCUAUAUAUAUAUUAUAUAUAUAUAUAUAUAUAUAUAUAUAUAGAGUGAGGCUACUAUGCUAUCGGAAGCACGGAGCCUUCCGUACUUCCAGCUCGUUUUUGAUGUUGCGACUUUCGAAUCAUCGAUCGGCUCCGUUAAACUUGAUCUAGAGUAUUUGAAGUACCUAGAAAAUAAAUUUUAUGAUUUUACGAUAUCAUUUGCCUAGUGAACGAAGUGGCUCAAAAUCAAUGGCUGAAAAUAAAAAUCUUACAAAAUGUAAUAAUAUGACAUUAAAAUUUUAAAUCAAAGAUAUUGAUCUUGUUUUAUAUAGUAUAAAGAAUUUUCUAUCAAAAUUUCACGUGAUUUGGAUAUUUCUACACCGUUAAACUUGCAAACGGCUCACAACGGCCGUUGAAAUUUGUUGAUCUUGAGCCCAUUCGAUCACUAGGCAAAUGAUAUCGAAAAAUAAUAAAAUUUAUUUUCUAGGUACUCCAAGUACUCUAGAUCAAGUUUAACGGAACCGAUCGACGAUUCGAAAGUCGCAACAUCGAAAACGAGCUGAAAGCACGGAAGGCUCCGUGCUUCCGAUAGCAUAGUAGCCUCACUCUAUAUAUAUAUAUGCGCUGGUAUACUAUCGAUAGCACGGAGACCUCCGUGCUACCAAGUUGUUUUCAAUGAUGCGGCUUCCAAAUCGACGAUCGGCUCUGUUCAACUUGAUCUAUAUUAUUGAAAGUAUUUGGAAACUAAAUUUUAUAAUUUUUCGGCAUCAUUUAACUAUCAAACGAGUUGUGUAAAAAUGAACGGCUGAAAAUAUAAAUCUCAUAAAAAAUGAUGAUAAAAGACUUGAAUUUAAGAUCAAAAGUACUGAUCUUACUCUAAAUAGUGAAAAAAAAAUUUCUAUAAAAAUUUUAUCAGAUUUGGAUUGUUUUACACCAUUAAAUUCACAAACACAUCACAUCGACCAUUCAAAUUAUCAAUUUUGAGACCUUUUAAUUACUAACCAAAUAAUGUCGAAAAAUUAUGAAAUUUAGUUUCCAAAUACUUUUAAUAGUGUAGAUCAAGUCUAAUAGAGCUGAUCGUUGAUUUGAAAGCUACAUCAUUGAAAACAACUUGGUAGCAUGGAGGCCUCCGUGUCCGGCUAGGAUGCUAUCGAUAGCACGAACCAUUUGGUGCUAUCAAGUUUUCUGCCGUUAGAUUUACCUCUUUUAUCAUUUUCAUCUGUUCGAUUAUACUAUUCGACCAACCACCUUCUCAACCCUAGGGGCCCAUAUCAUCCUAACCACACAUCUUUUAAUCUAUGGGCAGAAAACUUAAUAGCACCAAUGACUUGGUGUUAUUAAUAGUAUUCCAGUCUAGUUUUAUAUAUAUAUAUAUAUAUAUGAGUUGAGCUAGAAUACUUUCAAAAGCACCAAAAAGGUGGUGCUUUUGAGUUUUUAGCCUUUGGAUGAAGAAAUGUAGGGUUGGGAUGAUGGUGAUAGAUGGUAGUAGGUGGUGGUAGGUGGAAUAGUGUUUGAUUCAAAGACUAUUAAUAAUCAAGAAGUAGAUCCAAGGGCUAAAAAUUUAUAAGCACCAAGGAGGUGGUACUU
rnacentral:lncRNA from 1 species